rnacentral:lncRNA from 1 species
AUUCACAUUCUGAUUGAUAACUCUGCUAAGCACGAAAUGCAAUUGUUUGUGGAUUGUUAUGCAAGUUAUCACCAGAUCCAAAUAGAUGAAAAAGAUGCAGAAAAGACAGUUUUUGUUACUCCUUGGGGUGUAUAUCAUUAUAGGGUAAUGCCAUUCGGUCUUCAAAAUGUUUGUGCUAUUUAUCUGAGGGCUGUGACGACUAUCUUUAACGACAUGAUUCAAGAGGAGAACGAAGUGUAUGUAGAUGAAUUCAUCGUCAAGUCCUGUGAGAGUUCGGACCACUUGACCUGACUUGGUUGGCCAAGUUCUUUCUGUGUCAUUACAACUUGAAGUUAAAUCCCGCCAAGUGUUCUUUUUGAGUGUCAGACAGCAAGUUGUUGGGAUUUAUAGUCAGCAGAAGAGGUAUUGAGCUUGACCCUUCUAAGAUCAAGGAAAUUCAAGAGUUACCUCCUACAAAGACUAAGAAGGAAGUGAUGAGUUUCUUAGGGAGGUUGAACUACAUUAGCCGAUUCAUAGCUCAAUCAACUAUGGUGUGUGACCUAUCUAUAAGCUGUAAAGAAAGAUUCUUUGACAAAGUGGACCGAAGAAUGUCAGGAUGCUUUUGACUCCAUCAUGAAAUAUUUUUCUAAUCCAUAGGUAUUGGUUCCCAUUUGGAUGCGUACUUGGUCAACAUGACGAAACAAGGAAGAAAGAGCGAGCUAUUUAUUACAUAAGAAAGAAGUUCACUCCAUACAAAUUAUACCCUUUUGUAAUGAACGUGUUGUGCUUUAAUUUGGAUUGCCCAGAAAUUGAGUUAUUAUUUGACUUCCUAUACUACAUAUCUCAUUUCUAGAAUAGACCCAUUGAAAUAUAUUUUGCAGAAGGCGAUGCUGACUGGAAAGUUGGCUAAAUGGCAGAUGCUUUUGAUUGAAUUUGAUAUUGUGUAUGUGACCCAGAAGGCGAUAAAUGAACAAUCCUUGGCUGAUCACCUUGCGAAAAAUGUCAAAUCCGGGUUUACCCGUCAUCUUUCUUUUAAAUUACUAAGACUAGCCUCUUAGUUUCAUGUCAUUACAUUCAUAGGUUAAAAAGUGCGGAAAAAUUUAAAACUUUCAUUAUCACUACUUGGAGGUUUACAUAGACCUUUACAUACACAAUAUAUAUAAAUAUAUAUAUAUAUAUAUAUAUAUAUAUCGAGUAUACAUAGACCCUUCAUAUAGGAAGGCACAUAGCCUUCUACUUUGAUAUCACAUACAUAUAUAAUAAUAUAGAAAUAGUCUCAAUGAUUAUCUCAUCUCAUACCAUCUAAACGGAUACCACAACAUGGGCGUAGACCUUACAUCAAUACAAGACUACGUAUAGGUCAUAAAAAGUACAAUACUUAAAUAACAAGGAAAAAUGAUAGAAUCAAUAAGUUCAGAACAAAAUCCAAAGCUAGAAGAUGGCAUUGCCCUCGAAAGUUGAGCACCUACUCCACUUGGAUGAUAGAAAGAAUCCAAGCCUUCAAUAAUGUCGCCUCCCAAAACACCUCAACAACCGGAACCUAAAAUGUACGGGAAAAAGGAAGAAAAUGGGGUUAGUACUUCGCAUGUACUAAGUAUGAGAUCUUAUGCACAUACACAAGCAAAACAUGCAAAAAGGGACUUUUUAUCAAAGCAUGCCAAGUUACCCCGUUAGGGGCCUAAUGCAAAGUCAAAUAAGUCAUAUCAACCAACCAAACAUGCUUACUAUCUAAACAAGUAAUAUUUAUCCCAACAUACUUGAAACCACGAUUUACUACAACCCUAACAUCAAGGAAUAAUAUCACAAGAAUGAAUAAGAGUCAAACAUAUCAUAAUAAGCAAGACAACUACUCACAAGUCCUUAUGAAGUCAAUAAGUGCAAUGACCAAGCAAAGCCCCAUAACCUUAGUCAAUCAAGUAUCGUCAACAAGAAAACAUGACCAAUGUCCAACUUUACAUAUCAUGGUAUUUAGGCUUGCAUUUCAUCAUAUCUUAUCAUUAUAAUCCAAGGCAUAUUCAUAAAUGAACUAAUCAACAUAUAGUAUCAAUAAUGUGCCAUGGUCAUCAUAUAUUAUCAUAACAUAAACAUAUAACAACCUCCUCCUAAGACUCCCCUCAAGGCUAACUAGUGCAAUGUCUAAGUAGAGUCCCAUACCCCUACCUAGACUAAGCUAGACACCUUAGGUUAUCCAAGUUAGGGUUCAAAUCCUUUAACUCAUAUUACCUUUUGGGAACAUCUUUCCCUAACUUAUACAGACCAUUGAUCUAAUGUGGAAUCCGAUGUCAUAAAACCCUACACCAAAAAAAGGCGGACUACUUGCCAAGGUAGUACCAAAAUAUGAAACAUAACAACUACGUGGAUCCACUAGCUAGUAUUCCUGUGGGGGCAACAUAGUUCAAGAAUCAAGAGAUUUAGUUGGGACCCUCUUUAUGCACCAUGCAUUAUAGUCUCCAAUCUCAAGAGUAAUGAAGUGUUCCUACCUUCCCUAUGUGGGAAAGGACACUUCUCUAUCUAGUUCACUCGGUGCUAAGCUAGAGUCCCUUUUUGAAAUGUCUUUAAGCCUUUGAUUAUAAAUCAUAACUUAAUUUAGGUCAUAGGGUUUACCCCUUGUAUAAUCAUCCUCAUCAAUAGCUCAAUAAUAAUUGUAUGAGUAUAAGUCCUUUCAUCACAAUUCAUAGAAGUGAAGUUAACACUUUAGCAUUUCAUAACAUAUUAAGAUCAAUAGUUUUCACCAUCUUUAUAGCACAUACACCUUAAUAAACCUCACAACAUAGUCAAUAUAUUUCAAUUCAACAUCAUAGCACCCUAUAAUCCUAGUAUAAGGCAUACUCCAAUGUAAUAUCAUGGCUUAACAACAAUUAAUCACAAUUGGAAGUAAAGAUAGAUAUUCUAUGACUUACCAAGUCUUUAUCAUAGUCUAUCAUCAAGGUCUUACCAUCAACCCAUAACUCAACCGAACUUCGAGAGUAACAUCAUCACACAAUGAUAACCCAUAAGAUAACAAGGCCAAUUGCAUCUCUAUAACACAAUUCAUCUUUAGAUCACAACUUGAGACAAGGUACAUGGGCUAAUUUCACAUUAUAAUUCACAACCCUAAAUCACAUCUAAUGAACUAGCAUGAUAUAACUAUAACUCAUUUUAAUUUAAUCAUAAUAACACCAUAGGAUAGUAAUCUAAUCAACAACCAACUCAUUUGAAUAAUCACAAUAAAAUAUAGGUCAAGAUCACUACCUACGGUUAGGGAUAGAGAAUCAUACUCUCUAAUUUAGACCAUACCCUCAACAAUUACCAUAAACACAUUGAAUUACAUGUUAAUCUACUCAAUAUAACCUGAAUUCAUUAACAACUCAAUCCAUAACUUUAAUUUCAUAAUUGAGUGAAACCCAUAAGAAAACUCAAUUUUUUGAAAUUUAUUUUGAAGGAACCCUUUGAUAAAGGAUCUCAAAGGUGAAUAGAACCCGUACCUUAAUGUUUCUUAAUAAUUUGAUGAAGAAUCCACCCUUUUUGAGCCCCCAAUUCACCUUCCAAGCUAACCUUCUAUGGAGUCUUCUAAUUAGAGAGAGAAAGGAGAGAGAAGAAGGAGGAUUUAAUUGUGAGUUGUGUUUUGAUUAAUGAGGGUUGAGGGUAUUUAUAGUAGGACUUAAUCAAUUUAAUUAGUCUCUCUUUAAUCCCCAAUUAAUCCCUAAACCACUUAAUUAAUUAAUUAAAAUUAAUUUAAAAUGUGCAGGAAUUUGCAGACCCCAUCGAUGAGACCUUGAUCGAUGGACCGUUGGUUAACCGAGGGUCCGUGUUGCACAUCCGUAAGUUCGAUGAGAUACAGGUGAAGGUGAGUAUUUUCUCCAAUUUUCUAACUGUGGGACGACGGUGGCAUCGAUGCCCCGUCGAUCCACACAGGAAUCAUAGCCUGUACCUCCGCACUCCGUUGAUGAUUCAACAAAUUAUGCAGGUGAAGGGAUCUUCUCCACUAGCCUAAGUGUGGGACGAAGGUGGCAUCGAUUCCCCGUCGAUCCACACACGGUCCGUCAUUUAUCCCGUCAAUGCACACAGUCAGGCAGUGUUGUAUCAAACUGCAAAGGUCCUACUCAAGGGCCCUUUGUUGGUCCUUGGGUAGUCGUACCCGGACAUUUUAACCAUGGAACAACUCAAACACCCAUUAGUUACCUUUCCACCAACGUUCACACAAUGCUGACUCCUAAAACAUAGUCAAGUAGGCUAAGGUGCACUAUCAUCCCUUUGAACCAACUUCCCGGACGUUUUGGACGUUUUGGUUCUUAAUCUCCUAAAUGACCUAUAUCCAUUAAAAAUAGACUUGGAAACAGUUUUUAGACUUUAGGACUCCUAUGUUAGGCUUUACAAUGAGUCUUAGAUUUUUUUCCAAGGUGUUACAUAAAAUCAUGUCAAUAAAGAGUACGAACCGCUCAAGACUUAUUUCCCCGAUGAAGAGGUAUCAUUCGUGGGCGAAGAUAUUUUUGAAACAUAUACUGGUUGGAGGGUAUUCUUUGUAGAGCGGCGAAUCACCAUGGAAAAAGUAUUGGGGCGGUCUCAGUGUUAGACAUCGGCCAACACUAUCCUACGGUAGCUAAGCUUCAACUUAAUUGCACGAACAACAUGGCUAAAUAUGAGGCUUGUAUUCUUGGUUUGAAAAUGGUCAUAAACAUGAAUGUCCAUGAGUUGCUGGUUAUUUGAGAUUCAGAUGUGUUGAUUCAUCAAGUUCAAGGAGAAUAUAUUGUGAAGAACCCAAAGGCCACACCGUACGUACAGUAUAUACAGAAGUUGUGUAAGAGAUUCCAUAAGAUUAAGUUCAAACAUACUCCCAGAAUACAAAAUGAGUUAGUUGAUGGUUCUGGCCACCAAUGCUUCAAUAAUUAAACAUCCAGAUACUAAUUAUAUUGACCCUCUUGAUAUAGAGAUAAAAGAACAUCAUGUCCAUUAUUCACUUGUUGAAGCGUAACCAGAUGGUUGCCAUGAUAUUUUGAUAUUAAGAACUAUUAGGAUUCCGGUGUUUAUUCUGAGGACACAACAUUUAACUAGAAGAAGUCGAUACGUCGUAUGGCCCUCAACUUCUUUCUAAGCAGAAAAAUCCUUUAUAGGAGGACUCUAGAUUCAGGUCUUCUCAUAUGUAUUGAUGUUGUUGAAGCUGCGAGGCUUAUUGAAUAGAUACAUACUAAAGUUUGUGGUGAGGAAUAUCCUUUGAGCCGGUCAUUUAUGGAUGACUAUGGAGGAUGAUUGUUGCAAGUUUGUGCAGAAAUGUCAUAAAUUUCAUGUGCAUGCUGAUCUAAUCCUAGUACCGCCUCAUGAACUCAAUGCUAUCAUUUCGCCUUGUCCCUUUGUAUCUUGGGGCAUGGAUGUCAUUGGUCUUAUAGAGCCAACCACCUCGAACGGACACAGAUUUAUUUUGGUUGUCAUUGACUACUUUACCAAGUUGAAGCAUCCUCGUACAAGUCGAUGACCAAGAAAGUUGUAGCUUAUUUUGUUCGCAACAAUCUGAUAUACAGGUUUGGAGUACCAGAAUCCAUCAUUACCUAUAAUGGUGCAAAUAUCAACAGUCACAUGAUGAGAGACAUAUGUGACAAAAUUUAAGAUUACUCACCGAAACUCAAUCGCUUAUCAUCCUCAAUUGAAUGGAGCUGUAGAGGCUGCGAAUAAGAACAUCAACAGGAUUCUAAAGAAAAUGAUGGACACUUACUGAGGUUGGUGCGAGAUGUUGUGAUUUGUUUGUUGGGAUACCAGAUGACGGUCAGAACAUCGAGAAGAGAUACUCCAUAUCUCCUAGUGUAUGGAACAGAAGCAGUCAAACCUGUUGAAGUUGAGAUACUGUCCUUUAGAAUCAUCCAAGAACUCGACAUAAGUAACGCUAAAUGGGUCAGCAAAUGGAUUGACCAAUUAACUUUGAUUGAUAAAAAAGAAUGGUUGUUGUUUUUCAUGGUCAACUAUAUUGACAGAGAUUGAUUUGCGCUUUCCACAAAAGAGUCAAAGCGAGAAUUUUUUAAACUGGUCAGUUGGUCCUUAAGAGCAUUUUUCCUCAUCAAGAUGAGUACAAUGGAAAACUUGCACAGAAUUGGCAAGGGCGUUACAUUGUUCGCAAGGUAUUAUCAAGAGGUGCUUUGAUCAAGUCAAAAAUGGAUAGCACCACAUGGCCGAAACUGAUAAAAUCAUAUGAUGUCAAGGGAUAUUGUAUGUGAUGCUUCAGUUUGUAUUUCUGUCAUUUCCUUGUAUGCGUUCUAUUUGCUUGUAAUUGCUUUGUUUAAAUUUUUAUCCCUCUUGUAAUGAAAUAGGUCUGACUUGGAUUCUCAAGAAUGAAAUACGUAGGCGGCCUAAUUCGGCCUCGGUCACCCCAUUUAUCCUCUUUAAUAUUUCUUUGUAUUUUAACUAUGUUCGACUUGAAUUCUCAAGAAUCAGAUACGUAGGCGGCCUAUGUUUGCCUCGAUCCAUUUCUUUGUAAAGAUUCUUAUUAUUGUUAACCUUCGAGGGGGAACUACGUUUGACCUAAUUCUUUCCUCAACAGGAUAGUUGGCACCACAAGGGUUCGGUCAUAUCUUUUGUAAGAUUUCUAUUUUUCAUUACAAGAAAAACUGGGACAAAAUUUUUGAGAAAUUCUGGAGAGGAAGACUUUUUUAUCAACAUGUCGAAGCUGAAGUUACUUUGAAAUUUGUGACAGGGACAGAAUUUUUGAGAGGAACUCAAAAAACUCAGUGAUUUACUCACCAGUAGUUAAAGAUGAGCCGAGACAGUUAACUGGGAAAGAAAUUUUGAGGAUGGCCUCAAAAUUUCAACUAGGGUUUAUCGAUAGUCUAGAAUGACUUUGAACACUCCCCUGCCAAUAAUUAGAUAGACCUCCAAGCGUCAGGCUUAAAGAAAUUUGCUAAGUUUGACGUGACAUGAUAUUUGGUAGUAACCUAUUAUUAAUAUACUACUUUUCAAAAAUUUAUUUUUUCUUAAAACUUUCCCUUUAUGUUCCAUUUGUUUUGUCAUAAAACAUUUUGUUUUGUCAUAAAACAUUUUGUUUUAUAUAUCAAGAGUCGGGAGAUCAGAAAAUAAACCAGAGAUAGCAGGAAAAGGAGUAGAUAACUGAAGAAAUUGACACAAAUCAAUUCGUUUUAAAACUAAUAACUUUUUUGUGGACGCAGGUUUAUAGGUUAGCUCUGAUAUCAACAAAUUUCUGCAAUCGAUGAAUAUGGAGAAGUCAAGUGGGCGAAAAGCUCUCCCAAAAUUUACAAUUUUUUUGUGGAUGCAGGAAUUAUUUUAUAUUUCUUAUAUCAAAGUCUUGGGAACGUGAACAACAUUGUUUCAUCCAAUUCCCAACAGCACGAAGUCUAUUAUGAAGAUACAACUAUGUUCAAAGAUAAAUCAAAUGGAAACCCCAGAAAACACAUUUUACGGUUUUCAUCAAGGACGUCAUAUGCAUUACGUUAUCAUACAUGAUAGUGUUACUACUCGGAGGGGCCAUUUUAUUUGUAUAGUCGAUUGAGAUGAUAUACUACCCGAAGGGUCAUUUUAGUUAUAUUGUCAAUUGAGAUGAUAUGCUACCUACAGGGCCAUUUUAGUUGUAUUAUCGAUUGAUAUGAUACGCUACCCGGAGGGUCAUUUUAGUUGAUUGAGGUGAUGCACUACCCGGAGGAUCAUUUUAUUUGUAUUGUCGAUGUAGAUAAUACACCACCUAAAGGGUCAUUUUACCGUAUUGUUAAUUGAGACAAUAUCACUAUCCAGAUGGCUCCUAGAGGACACUAUGUCACUCGAUAGGACUAUAUUCAUUUGGUACCAAGGAUGCCUCGUGAAAAAAUAAGCGUCAUGAGAAGAUACUCAUGCCUCGUAGAAAAUCAUGCAUCACGGGAAGAUAUUCAUGCCUUAAGAAAAGUGCCAUGCACCGCGAGAAGAUAUUCAUGCAUCACAGAAAUCCAUGCACCGCGAGAAGAUAUUCAUGAAUUGCAAAAAAUCAUGCAUUGCGAGUCAAUAUUCAUGCAUCGCGGAAAAUGUCAUGCAUUGCGAGGAGAUAUUUAUAUAUUGCAAAAAAGUCAUGCAUCCCGAGUUAAUAUUCAUGCAUCACAGAUAAUUCAUGAAUCGCGAGUCAAUAGUCAUGCAUCGCGGAGAAAUCAUGCAUCCCGAGUUGAUAUUCAUGCAUAGCGAAAAAUGUCAUGCAUCGCAAGAAGAUAUUCAUAUAUCGCGAAAAAAGUCAUGUGGCGCGAGAAGAAAAUUCAUGCAUCGAAGAUAUAUUCAUACAUCGAGGAAAAUCAUACAUCACGUGUCGAUAUUUAUGCGUCACAGAAAAUCGUGCAUAUUGAGUGAAUAUUCAUGCAUCGAUUAGAUAUUCAUACAUCACGCAAAUUCAUGCUUCGCAAGAAAAAAAUCAUGCAUCGUGAGAAGAUAUUCAUGCAUUGCGAGAAAAUAUUCAUGAAUCUCAAGAAAAUAUUCAUGAAUCGCAGAAAAUCAUGCAUCUCGAGAAGAUAUUCAUGCAUCACGAAAAAUCAUGCAUCGCGAGAAGAUAUUCAUGCAUCGUAGAAAGUGAUACAUCUCGAGAAUAUAUUCAUGCAUCACGGAAAAAUCAUGCAUUUCGGACAAGAAGUCAUGCAUUGCAAGAGAAAAUUCAUGCAUCGCUGAAAAAUCAUGUAUUGCGGAUAAGAAGUCAUGCAUUGUAAAAGAAAUUCAUGCAUUGCGGAGAAGAAGUCAUGUAUAGCAAGGAAAACGAAUUCAUACAUCACGAAAAGAAGUCAUGUAUUGAAAGAGAAAAAUUAUGCAUUCCUAGAGAAUAUUUCCCCAUCAACAUCAACAACAUCCUUUUAUUUUGACAAGAGUAAACACCAAGAGAAUCAUCGAAGAUGACAUCAAGAGAAAUAGUAACACUGCAUCAGCUUUUAUUCAUUUUGACUUCAAAUGAAGAUUACAUUGAAUAUUAUAUUGCAAACAUAAUACAUAAUCUUUAUUUGCUUUACAUCAAACCAAUCGAGUUGACGUCAAAUGUUGAGGGACAAAAACUAAAUGUCAACGCGGUAAAAGACACUAUCUCCAAUUUGAAUUGCAUUUUUAUGUUAAUAAGUUUUAUCUUAGUCUUUGGCGAGAGCAUAUGAAAGAAUGAAUUCUCCAAAACAUACCACAGGUGCGGACGACAUCAAAACGGAUGUUGCACAAUAUGAAACUUUUUCUUAGCAACAAACUGGGACAUAGUCCGAAGAGGAGUGUCAAACUCUUAGAAAGCAAGCAGAGGAGCGACUUCCACCACAAUCGAAACACACCCUUAUUAGAAGGAAUGUGGGAUUUUCCUUAGAUUUCUUGGUCACAGUCCCGCAUCCAGAAAUUUUGGUAGCUGCCAAAAGCAAGUUUCAAAUCUGAAUAACAAUGCGUCAAGAGUUUCAAAAAUUAUGUUCAUGUAAGUUCUUAAUAAUGGGUGUGAGGUGCACCACAUUCAUGACGAAGAUGUUAAAUCCACCUUUUCACACUCGACCUAAUUUGUCACUUGAUCGAAACCAAAGGUUAUCUAGUAUAAUAGAUUUCCUUUUCAACCGAUCGAGUCGAACUACAAGUGGCUUGAUUCCUUGAGUUUAAGGAUAUGUAGGCGGGCUCGAUGUUGAAAACUUGGUUGUAUUCCACCAUUAAUUCUUAAAUUUUAUUUUUGCGCAUCAAGGUCCCUUCAUAAUUCAGUAUCGAGAUGGCUUUUGAAUUCUUUCAAAAUCGUGCAUCAAAUCAACUGUGUCGAACUACAAGUUGUUUGAAUUCUCAUAUAGCCUGAGAUAUCUAGGAAACUCAUAUCCAGGGUUCGUCCAUAAUUCCUAAAAUAAGUGCCAAAUGAAUUUGUGGUCAGACAAAAUUCGAUUGGUCAAUUUCAUUUUCCUUGAAUCUCUUGCAUCAAUCCAUGUAAAAUGAGAGACAGUUGUUGACAUCCAAUUUUGACCUUCCCAAAUAAAUUAAUCCUCAAGCUUCCUUAAUUCCAAGCGAUUGGGAAUAGUCAAUUUCAUUGAAACCAAAUAUUUUUCAAGUUAAUUUUAGUCGUUUUUGAUCUUUUGAAAAUGAAUACAUUUUCUCUUUAUAUAUAUCUUUGUCAUAUUUUAUAAAUAUUUUAAAAAGUUUCUCCAAAAGAUUUUACCUUUCCACAUAAUUUUUACUAACUAUUUUAGCUAUAUAACAUAUUAUAUUUUUUAAUUUAUUGGUUUAUAGUUAAGUUGAUUAUCUCGUUAAAUUUAAGUGACGCUCUUCAACUAAUUUAUACUAAUUCGUCUUUUUAUUCAAGUUUAUUUCAAAGUCCAUAUGUUUUCAACUUUAAAGAGACUUUCCUUUUUGGGCUCAACAAGCUCAAUUCCCAUCUCCAAAUCAGCCCAACCACAUUCUUAUUUCUAUCCAACCAAAUAAUCUUGUGACCCAGCCCAUUUUUUUACUUAAGAUCAGCCCAACCAAUUCUAAAUUCCAGCCCAUUCCAAAUAUCCUUGACCCGAUCCAUUCCCGAUUCUAGAGAACUCAAGCUUCACCAAAGAAAAACCAUGCGAUGGUAGUUCACGAAGCCCAGUGCGUACAGCUCAAUUCCAUCAAACGGCAAGUUCGCCUAUAGGUAGCGAGAGAUGCGGCGCUAUGUUUUUGUCGUCUUCCGCAUUGCCCCUUUUCGUAUGAGUUUUAGCAAUGGCAUAUCACACGGAGUCAUCCUUCUUGUGUUAGAUUGCACCACGUCGCCUUCCAAGGAAGGAUAAGCCUAUGUCAGAUGUCGAUCUUGCCAUUUCCUCCUUUAGGAAUAAGCUAAAAUUUCAGUAAAAGUUGUUUGUCCAAAUUAGUGAAGGUUUUUUUAUUUUUUAAUUCCUAAGUUCAUGGGCCUUGAACCGGAUUUCUCAUCCUUCCCUCCCUUUCUGACCCUAACUUUAAAUCGAUAAAUAGUCCUUUCCCAUUAAUUUGUGGGGAUGACAGUUUCUUCAGAAAAAAAAGGGUUGGAAGAUUUAUGGAGAUAUUAUUUUUUAGCUAGAAAAACUUAGUGAAAAUAUAUCAGUAGUAGACCAAGAGAGCCUUCCGUCAAGUUUUCUCGAUGUUCCAAUGUUUACUUGGGUUUGUUUGUGCUGCCCUGUUGCUUUAGUUUUGCCAUAGAAGUACCCAAAAUCACACUCCAGCGAUAAAUCUCUUUGUUCGCCCGCUCAGUCCUGUUUGUUGCGCACAAAAAGGUAAUGUCUUAUCUUUUGUAAUACUUCUUGUCAAAAUGUUAUCCUCGGCCUUACUUCCAUCUGGAUGUGUUGUGUGACGUUGGAAAGGUUUCACCACAUGGUUAUUGAUGAUAGACAUUGUUGGUCCAUUAAAGGUUGAUAUGUUACAUUUUGUCUUAUUCAUUUUGUUUGAAAUAGUUAUAGUAGCGAGUUGAAGCUUCGGGUAUUUGUUUUCGACAUGGAAGUGUUUUGUUUUUGGUUGAAGUUUGGAUUACAAUUGUCCUUCCUGUGUGUUUGUUUGGGUCUUGUAUAUUUUUAUUUAUUUAUUUAUUUUCUUCUUCUUCUUCGCAUCUCGUUGAGUUUUAUCUCCUACUAGAAUGUCAUCCUCUUUAAUCAAAUGAGACAAGGUUUUUUUUUUGUAUGCGUUGGAAAACAGCUUGGUGUGAAGUUUGCAAAUGUCGUUAUGCACACCCGUUUAGGUGCCGUAAAAACCUUCCUAAAAUAUAAAUGAGAAUCCUCGAACCCCCUAUUAAGUUUUCAAAUCAAUUUUCUAAUUUAAGUCUUUUGGAAUCUAAGUUUUCUUUAUUUAUUUUUUUAAAAUUAAGUGGCGACUCUAAGCAAGUCUAAAACAAUAAAAAAAAAUCUUAAAAUAAAACAACUCCUCCACACUCAUAUUACCUUGACUAAGAUGUAUGAACUCUUUAGACUUCACCUCUCUUUUCUCACAGGGAACGUACCUUCCUAAGAAUGCUUUCUUACACUUUUCUCAUUCUAUAGGACCCAAUUCAACUAGCCUAUUAUUAUUCCAUUGUGUGUACCACACUUGAGCAACUUCCCUCAAUUUGAAGAAAGCAAACUCUGCCUUCUCCUUAGAAAUCACCUCCAUAGCACUCGCCACCUUAUAAACACCAUCUAUGAAUUCUUGGGGAUCUUCUCCCACCUUAGAACAAAUAAAGAUAUAAGGAUUCAUCCUCGCCAAUUCCCUUAACCUAGAGGCCAUAGUACUCUUAAUAACAUUCACCCUAGGCCUUACAUCUCUAUUUCCUUGAGUCGUCAUGGCUCGGGGUAGGUCAACAAAAGCUCCUCUAACCUCGUCAUUAGGCAUGUCCGGGGGAACCACCGAAACCUCAUUCUCUUGGUUGACCAAAGGGACUUGAUCACCUUGAGGACAAACUCCCUCAUUCACCACACCAUAUUCCACUCUUAUUGUGGGCAUCCUUCUUCUAUUCAUAUCCUAUAAACACAAGGUUAAAGAUAUGGAAAAGACACUUAUAACCUCCACUCUAUGGCAGGACACAUGAGUCGUGAAGAAAGUGAAACUUCUACUGUCAUAUUGCCUCUCACUCAUAUAUGUGUCACAACUCACACCAAUGAACAAGAUUCUACUAGAUGUGGCUUAUGAUAGUUGAAUCCUAAGGACCACUUCAUAACCUUAUGCUCUGAUACCAAGUUUGUAACAACCCGGGAGCACCCCCUAGUUGUCACAUAAAGUAUUCAACCUCUCGAAGGUCAUAUACAAGCCCUUAGCGUUCAUUCAUAACAAUGUAACCAAAAUGGUGUGGAAUUAAAUCAUUUUAAAAGAAAAUUGUACGGCCUGAGAGCCAACACUUUAAAAGAAAUCUUCAUACACAAUGGAAUUCUAGUCUUAUAUAAGCCAACAAAGACUCAAACGCUAAGAAUCCCAAACUAGGGCAUGGAUCUUACACAUAAAUGAAAAUUAUGUCUAAUACAAAGUCUUUAAUAAAAGAAAACUAUAAAUAGCAUCCAUGUCCUCAAACAUAUGAGGACGUACCACGAGUCUUGAGAGAACAAUCUAUGGCCCAAGCUUCAACUCUAGGAAUCCUCACUUGCCAACACCUACACUUUUAGAAAUAAAGUAAAAUGUUGAAUUAGUACAAUUAAGCAUUAAGUACGGUAAACCUACAAGAAAUCAUGUAAAAUGGGACACUUUAGUUGAAUCAUGUUUUUCAUGCUAUUUUGAUAAAACUUCAUAAAAUCCAAGUACAAAAGAUAUCAUACAAGUCAAUCGUCAAAAUACAAGAUAAUAGUCUCAUAAUUUACAAGAUAUGACCAUAUUUAUUAAGUAUAUCAUUUAACCAUGUAAACCCUCUAUCUAAUGUUAUCAUAAUACCCACCUCGGUAAGAUACGAAGAUACCAGCCAUACAACAUCUUCAAUACACAUAUAAGUGUUCCUUGAGAGUACCAAAGAUAAAGAUGUUUCCUUUCCAACACAAGCACAACAAGUCAACAAUCAUUCAUUUGAGGGAAAUCACAUAAUGGUCUUGCAAGACCUAGGGAACCCACUCAAGUACUUGUUCCAUUGUAUAUAGCAUCUCAUUCUACUACAUACACUUUGUUGGACCGAUCCAAUAGCUAAAUGUAUUAAGAGACAUAGACCAUACUAUUUAGGUAUGGAAUCCGGACUCUAUCAUACCCCCUGGAGGGUGUUCUACUUGCCAAGGGUAGAACUAGGACACUUCCCAUGUUGGCACACGGCUAAGGGGAUAAUAGGGGCUUAUUUGUACUUUAGUAUCAUUCUCAAGUAGAGCUACUACAUCAAAUAUAUCCACUCGGUUCUUUGCCUUACUUCUCAUAUACAAAGUUCUUUCAUAUCUGUGUAUUUGAGAAGGUACCAUCACUAAGACCUACCAACUCAUAAUCCCAUUAUCGAGAAGGGAUCAACAAGGGUCUACCAAUCAAGGUUCAUUGAGAUAGCUCAUAUGACUCAUCUUAAAUGGGUGUCAUCAGCCUACUAGUCCAAGACACAUCUUCAAUAUUCGCUUAGGUUUCUAGAUUACCCUAGAAUACCUCAUUUAUCAUUCAUGGAAGGGCACCAACUUUAGGUUUGUCGAUCCUAGACUUUCAUUCAUUUAUUAUUCAAGACAAGGGUGUCUAAUCCUACCAAAUAAAUACACAACAUUCAUCAUAUCAUUCAUGUAUCAAGUAGGGACAACUAAGUCUACCUAAUCAAGAUACCAUAGCAACAUAUAAAGACUCUUUAAAGUCUAAAAUUAUCAAACGAGUAAACUUUUCGAGAAAAUACACCUUUCCUCACAUAUAUCCACAUUAUACAAAAGAUAAAACAUAUAUCAUAUCACCCUCCAUUUUAUACAACCAUAUAACCCAUAACAUUAUAAUACUACAAUUCACAUAAUAAUGUCGAUUGCCCAUGAUCAUAACAUAUAUACCAAUUAAGCACCGCCACCGUAAGUGGAGAAUAUCAAUCAAUAGCAAUAUGAUAUACAUUCUACAUUAAAUAAGGGAAUUAGGUCAACUUACCACAUUCCAAAAGCCACAAUCACCAUUCUUUAACAUCUCCAAUAAUUCUACAUAGCAUGGGAAUUUAGUCAUUACAAUGCUCAUAAGGCAAGGACUACCAACUCACCCAUAUAUUAAUAAUCCAUCAUGACCCAAGAUAGAUAUCAAUAUUAAUCAAUACUAUAAAGCAAACUAUGGAAAAUUCCAUUAAUAAACAACAUAGAAUUCAAUAGCCCAUAACAAUCUAAACAUGAUAUAACAUAAUUAGGCCAUAAUCAGUACACCUACUUUAGAGCAAAAAUUAGGUAUUCAAGAGAUACAUGGUCAAUUAACAUUGAAAACAUCAUAAGUCAUCCAUUUAACCCAUUUAAUGCAAGAACUCAUGCUUAUAAUUUAAAAUAGGGCUUUUAGGGUUCUUACAUUUUUUUAAAAACCUUUGAAUUGGAUCCUUACAUUAUAGAAGAAUCAAGGAUGAAACCACCAUACCAUAUUGAAGACCUAUCCACGACAAUUUGGGUUGAAAAACAUAGAGAAUUGAUCUUCUCCCUUGGAAUUUGAAGGUCCUUCAAUGGAGGAUUUGUGUAGAUAGAGAAUUAAUAAAGAAGGGAUAGCUUUUUUUUUCUAAUUGGGUGUUGGAGUUUUUUAUUGGGGAAAGGGUAUAAAUUGAAACUAUAUAUAUUAAGACCCUAAAAUACCCAAAACAUUCCUACAUUAGUUGGACCUUUAAAUGAAGUCCAACUUGACUUUAAUUGAUGAAGUCACAACUGGAACAUGGGUGCAUGUUGUGGAGGAAACAUUUGGCCUCUGUGUGACAAGCUCGUGACGCGUACUGAUCCCAUAAACUUCUGGUCAAGCUGUCCAGGCAGUUUUUUUUCUUGUCCAAGGUUUGGGUCCUUCUUAAGGACCCUUAGGGUGGUCCUCAUGGAGUCGUACCCAAAUGUUUUGACCAUAAACACAAUUAUUAAUGCACUACACUCACUUGCACUGUUUUUAGACUCCAAAUCACACACAAAGAUAUGUACAACAUGCUAGGACACAUCAACACAUAAAACACUAGUUUUCUAACGUCUUGGUCAUACUGUGAUGUUUGACCGCCAAAUUUUUUAAAAUUGAAUUCAAGAGCUAUAAUUUACUAUUUUAACAACUUAUUAACUCAUAAAACUCAUAUGAAGGUCUAGUUCGUUCUAGUUAAUGUUUAGGGUGUUAUAUUUUUUGUCCAAUAGAGUCACAUUGGUUGAUUUGGUGGAACUUAAUAUGUUGGACUUUGAUUUCCUAUAAGGAAUGUAUUGGUUACAUUCUUGUUUUGCUUCAAUUGAUUUUAGAACAAGGGCAAUUAAAUUUCGAUUUCCUAAUGAACCCAUUUUAAAAUGGAAGGGGGGAGGGGAGUUCAAUCCCUAUAGGUCAAAUUAUUUAUUGUAUAAAAGCUUGUAGAUGAUUUAUAGGGGAUGUAUCUACAAUAUAUUGAGGGUAAAUGACAUUGGGUAUGAAGCUCCUUAUUUAGGGUCGGUUCCCGUAGUGAAGAAUUUUUUGGAAAAAUGCCCCGAUGACUUACCCCAAAUUCCUUUAGAAAUAAAAAUAGAUUUUGGUAUAGAUUAGUUGCCAAAUAUUCAACCCUUAUCAAUCCCUACUUACCGGAUUUCUCCAGCCGAGUUGAAAAAAUUGAAAGCUCAACUCAAGGAUUUGCUAGAAAAGGGUUUUAUACAAAUAAGCAUAUCUCCAUGGGGCUCUUGGGUGUUAUUGUGACAAAGAAAGAUGUGUCUCUUAGAAUGUGUAUUAAUUACCGACAAUUAAACAAAAUCAUUAUAAAGAAUAAGUAUCCUCUCCCUAAGAUUAAUGUUUUUUUACCAACUCCAAAUGGGCGAGCUACUUUUCAAAUAUUGACUUGAGGUCAGGGUAUCACCAACUUAGAGUUAAUGGAGUUGACAUUCCUUAACGGCUUUCUGAACAAGGUAUGGCCACUAUGAGUUCCUAGUCAUGUCCUUUGGUCUAACUAAUGCCCCAACGACUUUCAUGGACCUUAUGAACAGGGUGUUUCGGGAUUAUCUUGAUUCAUUGUUAAUCGUCUUUAUUGAUGACAUUUUGAUAUAUUCCAAAAGUAAGGAUGAACAUAUGAGUCAUUUCAGGAAUAGUAUUACAAGUCCUCAAGGAACACCAACUCUUUGCCAAAUAUAGUAAGUGUGAGUUGGCUAAUAUCGGUUGUUUUCCUUGGUUACAUUGUGUGUAGUGUUGGUAUUGAUGUUCAUUUGAAGAAGACGGAUGUGGUUAAGAAUUAGCCUAGACCCCUAACCUCACCAUUAUUCAAAGUUUCUUGGGUUAGUCGUGUAUUAUAGGAGAUUUUUUGAUAGAUUCACAUCUAUCACUUCUCAAUCGACUACCCUAACCCAAAAUAAAGUUAAAUUUGAAUUAAUGAAAGCUUGUGAGGAAGGCUUCAAAGAGUUGAAGGAUAAGCUUACAUCCGCUCCGAUAUUGAUAUUACCGGAGGAUGCUAAGGGUUUUUGGUAUAUUAUGAUGCAUGUCGAGUAGGUUUGGGUUGUGUCCUCAUGCAAUAUGGUAAAUUUAUAACUUAUGCCUCAAGGCAACUCAAGGUGCAUGAGAAGAACUAUCUGGAGCAUGAUCUUGAAAUAGCAGUCGUAGUUUUUGCUUUAAAGAUAUGAAGAAACUAUCUAUAUGGAGUGCAUUUAGAUUUCUUCACUAAUCAGAAAAGUCUCUAAUAUGUGUUCACCCUAAAAGAGUUGAACAUUUGGGAAAGAAGGUUGUUAGAUCCUUGAAAGACAACGAUUUGAGUGUCCUCUACCAUCCCAGCAAGGCCAAUGUAGUUUCGAACACUUUGAACCGUAUUUCCAUGGGUAGUGUUGCUCAUGUGGAAGAUGAGAAAAAGGAGUUAGUCCGUAAUGUGCAUAGAUUGGCCCAGCUGGGAGUUAAAUUAGUAUAUUCUCCUAAAGGUAGAGUCAUGAUACAUCAUAGAUCUGACUCCUCCUUAGUGGUUGAUGUAAAAUCCAAAAGAAACACCUUGAUCCCAUCUUGAUGGAAUGAAAGAGUCCGUACUUAGAAAAUCCAUUUAGGUUUUCUCCCAAGGGGGAGAUGGGGUACUUAGGUAUCAAGGUAGAUGGUGUGUUUUGAAUGUCGAUAACUUAAAAAGACAAAUUUUGGAAAAAUCCCACGGUUCAUGAUAUUCCAUUCAUCCGGGAGCCACCAAGAUGUACUGCGACUUGCGAGAGAUCUAUUGGUGGAAUGGUUUGAAAAGGGAUAUAUCAGAAUUUAUGGCCAAAUGCCCUAAUUGUCAACAAGUCAAGGCCGAACAUCAAAGAGUCGGAGGGUUGUCUCAAGAUAUAUCUAUCCCCACUUGGAAGUUUGAAAAUGUCAAUAUGGAUUUCGUAGUGGGUUUGCCCCGUACACGAAGGCAACAUGAUUCGAUUCGGAUUGUUGUUGAUAGGAUGACCAAAUUAGCCCAUUUUAUUCUCAUCAAGGCUACUUAUUCGGUGGAAGAGUAUGCUAAAUUGUAUGUCAAGAGAUUGUGAGAAUGUAUGGGGUCCCUUUGUCUAUCAUUUUGGAUAGGGGUACUAAAUUCACUUCCCAUUUUUGGAAAGUAUUCCAGAGUGGACUUGGUACCAAGGUGAAACUUAGUACUUCAUUUAGUGCACAAAUGAAUGGUUUGGCGAAACAAACCAUCAAAACCCUAGAAGAUAUGUUUAGGGCAUGUUUUAUUGACUUUAAGGGUAAUUGGGAUGACCCUCUACCAUUGAUUAAGUUUUCCUACAAUAUAUUUAUUACUCAAGUAUUGUCAUGGCUCAAUUUGAGGCUUUUUAUGGGAGAAGAUGUAGAUCUCCGAUUGGGUGGUUUGAGGUAGGUAAGUUUUCUCUAAUUGGUCCUAAAGUAGUUUAUGAGGUCGUAGAGAAAUUUUGACUCAUAAAGGAUAGACUAAAGAUGGCCCAAAGUCGGGAGAAAUCUUAUGCUGACAAUAGGAAGAGGGACCUUGACUAUAUGGUAGGUGAGAUGGUCUUUUUGAAUAUAUGACCCAUGAAAGGGCUAAUUUUGUUUGGUAAAAUAGGGAAGCUUAGUCCCCGGUAUGUUGAUCCAUAUGAGAUUUUGAAACCUGUCAGAAGUGUUGCCUAUGAGUUGAAAUCACCUAUUGAGUUCGCUCCGGUGCAUCAGGUAUUCCAUGUAUCAAUGCUCAAAAAGUACAUGGCAAUCCUGUGUCUAUCCUUCCUCUAGAUGGUUUAGGGGUUGAUGUUAACCUUUCCUAUGAAGAGGUCCUGGUUCAUAUUUUAGAUCAUCAAUUAAAUAAUUUGAGGAAUAUGGAAGUAGCUUCCAUAAAGGUUUGUUGGAAGAAUCAUCUUGUGGAAAGUGCUACUUGGGAGGCUGAGGCCGAUAUGAUGUCUCGAUACCCUCAUCUUUUUCCCUCCUCUUCUAUUCAAAGUUUAUAUUAGAAAUCCCUCCUUGUUUUCAUUAAUGAAUGGUCAUAAGUGUAUUUGAACCUCCAUGAUUUUCCUCCAUGUAUGCAUGUUUUGUGAAGAAUUUAUGAAUCAUAUGUUUUUCAUACUUGAUGGCACUUGAUAUGUUUUUUGUAUAUUUCACUUUGUAUGAUAUUUUAAAUUAACGUGCUCAAGUAUGAAUUGAUGGAAUGAUGUAUUGUCUGCUUGUUGAACAUGUUGAGCUAUAUGAGAAGGAGAAGGAAAAUCCUCCUUGAAUAAUGUGAAGUGAUGAAGUGCAUAUUUGGUAGUUGAUAUACUUUAUACCUCAUGAUGAUGCAUUGUGUGGUUGAUAAUGGAAUUAAUGCUUCUUCCUUUUGUAUUUAAUUAUCACUAUAUAAACCAUGUGUUGGUUGGUCUACUAGUAUUGAGUCAUAAAUUCCAAAAGGAAGUUUGAAGUGACAUUCGAGGAUGAAUAUUCCCUCGAGGGGGAUAUUGUUACACCUCGGAAAUCUAAUGACUUGAGCUAGAGCUUUGAAUAGAGGCAUUGAAAUAAAAUUGUUUAAAAUGAUGUUUCUAUACCUAACAUAGUGUAAUCAACUUGUUAGGAGGUAUUAGAUCUAAACGUCAAUAAACGAAUAUGACGUUUGGACACUAUCAAAAUUGAACUAGUGUGUUCUUAGGUGUUGUAAGGGGCUUUAAAGUAUCGUAUAAUGAUGAAAUGUUUUAAAAAUGCUUUACAUAUGUAAAACCAAGUGUUUAAGGUCUAAAUGUUUGGGUACGACCCCCCAAGGACCACCCUAUGGAUCCUUGAGAAGGACAUAACCAUUUGACCCAAAAAGGUUGUCAAAUAAUAGCUUGACUUAUGGUGGGCAAUGACGAGCAUCCACUGGUAUUACUCCCCAUAAGUGAGGCUCGUGGGUUGAAAAUUAGUCUCCCCACCAUAUCUUCUCAUUUCCCUCUUCUGUGACCAUAUGUACGACCUACAGGACGGACCGUAACACAACCUACUAUCCGUAGGUGUGGCCGUAGGUCACUACUAGGUAAGUGUGUUUUCACUUUUAAGUUAGGGGUCUUAAUUUAGUUAUUUAACUAGGGGUUAGGAGGGCUGGUUAGUGAUUUAAUACCCUAACUAAACCUAACUAUAAGACCCCAACCCCAAGACCCCAAGUCAUUCAAACUAAACUUAUAAAAGAAAGUCAAACUCUCUCAACUCAAGAUUCCAUUGAAGAAGAAUAUAAAGCUUUCUGUAGGGCUUCAAGAAUAAGAAUUUUCUCCUAUAAUCCUUAAGUUUUGAUAAGGUAUCGAAACUGUUUACUCUUGGGACUCCUUUCCCCAAGAGGUUCCUUCAAAUUGAAUUUAAUGUUCUUCUAAUUUUCUAGAAUUCACUCAAAUUCGUGAGUCACCUUUAAACUUGAGUUAUUAUAACAACCGAAGAGUACCCCCUAGACGUUACCGGCGUACUCGACCCCGAAGGGAUCUUAUAAAAUCCCAUAGCGUAAUUGUCACUACAUAAUGAACUUAAAAUAAUGCAGAAAAAUUAAAAACUUUACAUAUAGAGUAUGCUUAGACUUAUCGUUUAUCCAUAUAUGAAGUUUACAUAGACUUCUCAUUUAACAACAUAUCCAAAUUCAUCAACAUAGUCUAAUAUUGUUUCACACACACCAUAUAUUAGUAAGAGUUCAACAAAAGUCUUCAAAUGGGGUCCUUAUCCCUUUAGACACAACAGUCUUUAGAAUAAAUGUACAUAAGAGAAGAUUACUAAGUCUAUUACAUCAAUAGAGAAAACAUAGAGUGGUAUAAAGUGCAUAUGUCCUUAGAUCUUUGACUUAGAUCUUUGAGGACCUACCACAAAUCUUCAGGAUAAGAAGUUCAAGCUUUCUUAAAUAGUAGAGGAGACCAAUUAGCCAGAACCUAUACUCAUAUAUUAUUAUAAGUGAGAAGCUCCAAAGUAAAAAGUUGAAUUACCGUUUUACCCCUCUACUAAAUUUAAAUUUUUAUAAUUUUGAUAUAUAUAUAUAUAUAUAUAUAUAUAUAUAUAUAUAUAUAUAUAUAUAUAUAUAUAUAUAUAUAUAUAUAUAUAUAUAUAUAUAUAUAUAUAUAUAUAUAUAUAUAUAUAUUCAAAAUCUUUAUUUUUCAAAUUUCUCACACAAAUUUUAAAAAAAUACAAAUGAGUAAUUAUUCCUUAAAGACAAGAAAUUAGAGUAGAUUCAUGUCUUUUUUAAAGUUAAAUUUCAUCUCAAUCUUUUUUAUAUUUAUUUUAAUAGUAUUUGACCUUUUAAUUUUCCAUGUGUCUUUUCAUGUUUCCAGAAUUUUGUUCUAUAAAUUUAAAUUUUUUUCUAAGAAAAACUUUUGUUUACUAUUCCUACAAUUCUUGUGUGUAGGAACUCUAAAAUUUAUUUCACUUAUUAAAUUUUCUUCUUUCAUCUUCCAAUAGUAACUUAUUUUUACAUUCUUCAUUCAUAUUUUGAUGUAUAAAAUAUCUUUGGUAUUAUUUGUUGUACAUAGUUUAAUCUUCUCAAUGAUAUUUAUUCUAAUCAAUCUUUUCACAUCAUUAAAUACUCUAUAAAGUAUCUCAUAAGGUGGGUUUGUCCAAUUAUUUCAUUUGCCUUCUUUGGUUAGAUUUCUCCUCCAAAAAGAGUCUACUUCAGGUAAAUCUAUUCCAAUAUAAUUGAUUUAGCUAUAAAUAUUGAUCACCACUUUUUAUAUUAUUGCUAAGCUAGCAGCAUAUUCACUUUUUAGUACAAUAUCUAUUUAUGAAAAGUUUCUGUUGCAAUAAAACUCAAAUUCAGAUAUAAGUUGAUCUAUGAAUGCCUUUGCAUAUUUGAACUUUGAAAUGUGUGCAUGGACUAUGUUUGGAGCACACAGGUUCAUAAUUGACUGUGUGUUCGUAUAGUUUAAAAUGUUAUGAAAUACAUAUGCGUUGCACGUGUUCGAUAACUAGUAAUAGAAACGGGGUAAAGGGGUUAGUACAAUUUUUGCAUUAAGUAUGGAGAAAUGCAUAAAAACCUUUAAAACAUGUGAACGGUCAUUUACAUGAAAAGUAUGCAUUUAUGAUGUUUUCGUAAGACAUUUACAUUCUCGAGACAAACACAUAAGGCAAUAUAUCAAUAAUAAUCCAACUUACAAUGAAAGCAUAACUUAAGUGCUUCCUAGGGUCAACUUGUGCAAUGUAGGAUUAGUAUCCCAUGCUACCAAUCCUACCAGCAUCCCUUUAACAACCACCUUAGCCACACAUGUUACUUUUACAUUCAUUCUAAUAGAGAUGUUAUCAUAAUUAAUACAUAACUACAAGGAACCUCCUACUGCAACAUACCCCCCUCUUAUACUUAUUAAACUCAUUAGAAUGUCAUGGAAUAGUUCAUACUUAUUCAUUUAUUCAAUACUUUAGGGAAUUUAAACCAUAACAGACAUAGACCAUGAGAGCAUCCAUGAAAUCCGGUGUCAUAAAGCCCCAUACUGAAAAAGGGUGUUCUAUUUGCAAAGGUACAACCUACAUACUAGCUAUUAUGUGGAUCUACUAGUUAUGUCCUAUAGGGGCACGUAGUUAAGGGAUAGGAAUAUUUCUUCUAAGGGCUCUACCUAUUGCAUUACGCCAUCUCAUGAGUAUCACUAGGAUGACCCAACCUCUUGCAUUAAUGGAAGGGUCUUUUCCUCAUUGGUCAUAUCCUCUGGGUACUUAGUAUACUAUCCUAACUUACUACCAUUGUUCUUUAAUUGUACCUACACGUGUAAACAGUAAUCCAUCUUCAUUCAAUACAAUUUAACAUAAAUCUCUUAGAUUCACUAGGUGAAAAUAUACUUUCACCCUAGGAUCAUCGACAUAUGUGAAUAUCACUUUUCACAAACUCAAUUAUAGUGUUUUCAAGAGGACUAUACUUUCAAUCGACAUUAGAGACCAAUUUCAUUAUACAAAGUACAUGCCAAACCAUAGGCAAGGUUCAAGAGGAUGAAAACCAUACCAAUUACCUUUCUUGUAUCCUUUAUUAAGCCAUGCACCUUGCAAGUAAGUUCAAGUCUAUGUACAACAUUCUUCAUCAUAUAAAAAACCCUAGAAUGCCCUCUUUUCAAGGAAUCAAGUAUCAUAAUUACCCUCAUCUGUAUCAUAAUAGACAUGGAAGAAAAGAUUGUACAACUAGAUAAUCAUCAAUUACCAUACUACAAUGUUCAUAUUUACUCAAUUCAUUCAUACACAUUCCUAAAAUUGGGUUAAUGGGGUGCACAUGGGUUCUUUGAAGGUUUUAACAAUAAAAAUCAUUUGUUGUUACCAAUAUAAUCAUAAUAAAAUACAUAUAAAAUAAAUAAAACAAUUUAAGAGUGAACCCAUGGCUAGAUCACAAAACCCUAGUUUUUAGUCACAAUUUAGAUUUCGAAAAUAAAAAUUCAUAAGGGCUUCAUGGAGAAACUAAUACAUGAAUCAAUAUCCCCAUACCUUAAUUUAUGAUAUUCCUCAAAUUUGAAGUGGAAAAGGAUGAAUCUUAAGUGCUACAGCUUGAGUUCUAAUUUUUUUCUUCAAUGGUGGUCUAAAGAGAGAAUUUGUGAGGGAGGGAAAAAUGGGUUUUGAUUUUUGAUUUUGAGGUUAUGAAGAGUUGGUUGAUUUAUGAGUUAAAGUCUUUUAAUAUAUGUAAUAUAACUAAAAUAAACCUACCCAACAUUUAAUUAUCUAAGGGUGGAAUUUACCAAACCACCUUGGCUUGGUCGUGCAGUGCACCAGAUUGUAGGCACCAUCGAUGCUUCCAAAUGACGGUCUUUUGUUCCAUGAACAGACUGACCUCAAAAGUCGUCGUUUUCAUUACAGACUGCUCAAAAUGGAUCUUUCGCUCCACAUUCUAUGUGUGGACUCACGGGUGCAAAUGAAAGAGUGUGAGUCAAUUGACAGGGCGUCGAUGCCCUCGUUCGUUUGCACACUAUUUUUGUGUAGCUUCUUAAGGUCAAAUAUUGGGUCCUCCUUAAGGACCCCUAGGGUGGUCCUUGGGGAGUUGCACCCAAAUGUUUUGAUCCUAAACACACUCUAAGGUGUUUUCAAAUCCUUAUACAAAAUUUGACCUUUUUCUCUAUAAACCCCUUGAACCACACCAAGGCACACUAGUUCAUUUUCACAAGCAUUGGGGCGUCGUGGUCGUUUCUUGACGUUUUGAUUCUAACACUUCCUAAUUAAGUUCAUUACCUUUUGUUUAAGCUUAGAACAUUAUUUUAAGUAUUAGUUCAUCAAAUGAGGCUCUAGACUAAGUGAUGAACUUCCGGAGUGUUACAUUAUCCACCCCUUGGGAACAAUCGUCCCUAAAUGACACCUAAAUCUCUUUAUAGGGAGAGAAUGACUCAAUACUAGAAGCCCAACCAACAAAAACAACAACAUAAAAUCAUCAUGAGUCACAACUCAUAGGAGUACUUCACAACUUCAUUCAACACAUAACCAUAGCAUUACAUAUAGUAACUCAAUUCACAAUUCACAAAAUCUAAGAGCUCAAUAUUUCAUAUCACAUAAUGAGAUACUAUCUUCUCAAUAACAACAUGAGAUCAACAUGAACAUCAAGAGUUACCACACAAUUCUUAUUUCAAACAAAAUUAAACAUGCUUACUAAAAUUUCUCAUGAACACAAAGCAUAAUAUACUACAUGCAAGUGCAAAUUAGCCAUGGAAAUAAAUUUCAUAAAAGCGCAAUUUAAGCAUGAAUUUUUAAAAUGACAUGCACAUACUAGCAAAACAAGCCAAGUGUUACAUUAUUCAAAUAAAUUUAUUUUAAUAGGAACUACUAACCUCAACCUUAGAUAAUUUUAGUGGAAAAAUAUGAGGAUAAUUGGACUACAUGUCGGCCUCGGCUUACUAUGUUGCACCCUCAACUAGGUGGUGUGUCCAUACGACCUUUACAAAGGGAACCUCUUUAUUCCUCAAUUUAUUGACUUGAUGAUCUAGGAUCUCAACGGAAUCUAUUCAUAAGAAGGGUUCUCAUCCACUCCUAACCCUUCAAUCGGAAUAAUAGAUAUUGGGUCGCAUAUACAUUUCUUGAGCUAGCGAUAUGAAAUACUGAGUGAACCGAGGCUAAUUCACUUGGUAAUUCAAUAUCUCAUAAGGGCCUUCAUACCAUGAACUAAUCUUCCCCUUUAUACCAAAUCUCAUCACCCCUUUCAUGGGGUGAAAUCUUCAAGUAGACCCAAUCACCUUUUGCAAACUCAAAGUCUCUUCUUCUAUUGUUGGUAUAAGAUUUUUGCGGACUAUAGGAUGUUUUCAACCUAUCUCUUAUCAUCUGAACCUUCUCUAAAGCCUCAUAUAUUAUCUCGGAACCAUGGAGUGAAGAUUCACCUACCUCAAACUAGCUAACCGUAGACCUACAUCUCCUACCAUAGAGUUCUUCAAAGGGUACCAUAGAAAUACUCAAAUGGUAGUUAUUGUUAUCGAAGAACUCUACCAACGGUAGGUGAUAGUCCCAAUUACCCUUGAAUUCAAUACACAAGAUCGCAACAUAUCUUCAAAGGUUUGGCUGGUGCGCUCGACUUAGCCAUCUGUUGAGGAUGAAAAGUGGUACUAUGUUUCACUUGAGUACCUAGUCCCUUUUAAAAUAGACCUCCAAAAAUGAGAACUGAAUUGGGCACCUUUAUCCGAGAUGAUGGAUAAAGGAAUCCCAUGCAACCUCAAAUCUCAUUAAGUUAUAAUCUAGCAUAUUCCUCUGCCGAAUAAGUAGAUUUGAUGGGGAUAAAAUUGGCAGAUUUUAUCAAUCUAUCAACAAUGACCCAUAUGGAAUCGUUUUGCCUCCGGGUAAGGGGAAAACCUACAAUGAAGUCCAUUUUUAUAUAUUCUCAUUUACAAGUAGGGACAUCCAUUACAUGAGUUAACCUCUCAGUUUUUGAUGUUCGGUCUUGACUUGUUGACAAUUAGGACAUUCAGCCACAAACUCCGCUACAUCCCUCUUCAAACCGUCACACCAAUAGACCUCUUGAAGAUCACGAUAUAUUUUAGUUGCACCCAGAUGAAUAGAAUAUAAUGAAUCAUGAGCUUCUUCCAAAAUUUCCCCUCUCAAAUUAUCAACAUACGGAGCACACAACCUACCUUUGUACCUACUUACACUUUCCCCUCUUGGGAGGAAGAUGCAUUGAGCUUACUAAGAACCGACGCCUUCAACUCCAUAAAUAAAGGGUCAAGAUGUUUCUUAGACUUCACCUCAACCACUAAAGACGACUUGGAGUUAUGAUGAACCAUGAAAUCCCCUUUUGGAGAAUCUUCUAAGGAACACCUAACUGGGCCAAUCUAUGCACAUCUUUCGCAAGCUCUUUAUUACCCACUUUAACAUGAGGCACACUACCAAUAGUCAUUAGACUCAAAGCAUCGGCAACAAUAUUUGGUUUUCCAGGGUGGUAACAGACACUCAUAUCAUAGUCCCUCAAGAGAUCUAACGACCUUCUUUGCCAGAGAUUCAACUCCUUUUGAGUGAACCCAUAUUGGAGUCUCUUAUGAUAGGUAAUACAUCCACAUGGACUCCAUAUAGAUAAUGCCUCCAUAUUUUCAAAGCAAAUAAUAUGUUUGCUAACUCAAGAUCAUGAGUCGGAUAGUUCUUUUCAUGCACCUUGAGCUAUCUAGAGUCAUAUGCUAUUACCUUGCCAUUUUUCAUAAGGACACAACCCAAACCUACUCGAGAAGUGUCACAAUAUAUCACACAUCCUUUUGGGCCCUUCGGCAAGGCCAAUACCAGAGCGAAAGUACGCUUGUCUUUAAACAACUAAAAAUUCUUCUCACAUGUCUCUGACCAUACAAACUUAGAAUUAUUUUGAGUGAAGGUCGUCAAUGGAGAUUCGAUAGAGAAAAGAUCCCUCAACAAACCUCCUAUUAUACCCGGCCAAACCCAAAAAGCUUCUAAUGUCGGUAGGACUCAAAGGUCUAGUCCAACUUUUGACUACUUCCAUUUUUCUUGGAUCUACUAUUACCCCUUCACUUGACACAAUGUGACCAACAAAAGCAACCGAUCUCAACCAAAACUCACACUUACUAUAUUUGUCAUAGAGUUGGGCAUCCUUGAGAACAUGCAAGAUUGUUCUCAAAUGGUUCACAUGAUCACCCUCGCUUUUAGAAUAUAUCAAGUUGUCCUGAAUAAAGACUAUCACAAACAAAUCUAGUUAGUUUCAAAAAACUCGAUUCAUAAGUUCCAUGAAAGUCGGCGGGGCAUUUGUUAGACCAAAAGACAUGACUCAAAAGUCAAAAUGACCAUGCCUAGUUCAGAAAGUUGUCUUAGGUAUGCCAACUUCUUUAACUCUUAGUUAAUGAUACCCCGACUCAAAUCAAUUUUUGAGAAGUAUCUUGCCCCUUCAAGUUGGUCAAACAAAUCGUCAAACCUAAGGAGAGGAUACUUAUUCUUUAUGGUGACCUUAUUUAGUCGUCAAUAAUCAAUGCACAUCCUAAGGAACCCAUCCUUCUUUCUUAGAAAGAACAUCGGAGCAUCCCAUGGCAAAAUACUUGGUUGUAUGAAACCUUUGUCUCAUAAAUCUUUGAGUUGAAUCUUUAGUUCCUUCAACUUGGUCGGAGCCAUUCGGUAAGGAGGAAUUAAAAUGGUUUCCUAUCCGGCAAUAAGACAAUGUCGGAGUCUAUUUCCUGCUCGGGAGGAAUUACAGGUAAGUCAUUGUGGAAGACUGUUGGAAAAUCCUUCACUACGGGGACCGACUCUAUUGAGGGAAUCUCAGACUCAAGAUCCUUGACUCUCACAAUAUGAUAAAGACAUCUCUUAUAGAUUAACUUUCAAGAUUUAAGACAUGAAAUGAUUCGACUUUUUAGAUCAAGAUUUCCCCCUUCCACUCAAAAAUGGGUUCAUUUGGAAAUUGAAAAUUUACUACCCGAGUUCUACAAUUGAUGGAAGCAAAACAAGAAUGUAGUCAAUACAUCCCCAAAAUAACAUCAAUGUCAAACAUAUCUAGUUCUACAAAAUCCACCAAUGUGACUCUAUUGGGAAAUGACACGGGACAACCCCUAUAAACUCUUUUAACAAGUACAAAAUCACCCACUUGGGUGGAAACUGAAAAGGUUCAUGGAAGACAUCGGGAAGUACGUCAACAUCAUGGCCACAAAAGGGGUUACAAAAGAUAAAGUGGCAUCGGGAUCUAGUAAAAGCAUAAACAUAAAUGCAAAACACUUGUAACAUACCGGUGACAACAUUGGAAAAUCCUCUUGAUCACCGCUAUUGCAGUGAGCAUAGAAGUGAUUUUUUAGGAGCAUUAGGGUUUGGAAUAUUAGUGGGAGCUUUGGUGAUUUCCCUUUCUUUGGCCGCACGGAUUGGACAAUCCUUCAAUUGGUGGCCACCUUUCCCACAUCCAUAGCAAACACCCCAUAUAAAAAGACACUUCCCUUCAUGCUUUUUACCACACUUGAAACAAGUAGUUCUUUCCACAAAAGGGUCACUCUUCUCCUCUCCUUGAGGUUUAGGGGUAGUCAUCUUCCCUUGAGUGGGAUUUGGAGCAUUGGAGGGACUUGAAUUGAAGAACCUCAUUUUGAACCUUGGUUUAUCUUGUAUCUCAAAUCUAGCCUUGGAUAAAUUUCCCUCAUUGGGCUUUGAUCUCUUCAACUCCCUACCAACUUGUUUAAGCUUCUGCUCCUCAAUUUGUUCGGCGUGGACCAUAAGAUGAGAAAUGUCCAUGAUUGGAAUUAGCAUAGCCAACCUACAUUCAUUCACCAUAAGAUUGGAUAUUCCCCAUAAAAAAAAUUAUUCGUCUUGACUGUAGAGUCCCCCACCAUGGUGGUAGCACACUUGGAUAGUUGAGUAAACUUGAGGAUAUACUCCUUCACACUCAUAUUCCCUUGACGAAGAUUGAUGAAUUCUUUCAUUUUUCUCUCUCUUAGUUCCAAGGGAAAGAAACUAUCAAGGUAAGUCGUUUUGGAUGCCCCCCAAGUAAUCUGGACUUCUCUAAUCGGCCUAUCAUCUUUCCAUUGUUCAUACAAACUUGAGCCACAUCUUUAAGUUAAUAGGCAGCUAGAUCCUCCUUUUCUUGAAAAGUCACUCACAUUGCAUCUACCACCUUGAUUACUUCAUCUAUGAACCCUUGUGGGUCUUCCUCCACCUUGGAUCCAAAGAAUGUAACGGGAUUCAUCCUUGUGAAAUCUCUUAUCGUUGAAGCGGUAGUACUAGUAUUGGAGUUCACUUGCACUCUAGCAUCCCUAGCAACUUGGGUAGGAAAUAUUUGAGUCAAACUAUGGAUGGAAGUCGUUAUCUCAACAUUAGACAUAGCCCUUUAUUCAAUAGGAACUUGAGGGUUUUGAGAAACUUGAGAGGAAUUGCCUCAUUCAUAUUCUCAUCUUCGGCCCUCUAGCAUUAUUCCUACUAGUAUUCAUGGCCUAUAAGCAUAAGAAAAGGAUUAGAAGGAAAAAGUAUAAUAGAGUUAGGACUCCAAAAAGGAUCAUAGAAUAAUGAAAAAAUCUAAUCAUCUCAUAGUACCCUAUUCAUAAAGGUGGUGCGAUUCACCUUUAUGAAUAACACUCUACUAAACGUGGUGUGUGUGAAAUAAGCCCUACUAUUAUACCAAACCUUAUGCUCUAAUACCAAGUUUGUAACGAUUGGAGAGUACCUUCUAAACGUUAUCGGCAUACUAGACCCCGAAGGGGUCUUCUACAAGACCUUAGUAUAAUCAUCACAUCAUAAUGAACUUGAAAUAAUGCAGAAAAUUAAAAACUUUACAUAUAAAGUAUACUUAAACUUCUCGUUUAUCCAUAUAAGAAGUUUACAUAGACUUCUCAUUUAACAACAUAGCCAAAUUCAUUAACAUAGUCUGAUAUUGUCUCCCACACACCAUCUAUUAGUAAGAGUUUAACAAAACUCUUCAAAUAGGGUCCUUAUCCCUUUAGACAUAAUACUCUUUAGAAAAAAUGAACAUAAAAGAAGGUUACUAAGUCUAUAACAUCAAUAGAGAAAACAUAGAGUGAUAUCAAGUGCAUAUGUCCUCUGACCUUUACGGACCUACCACAAGUCUUGGAGAUAAGAAGACCAAGCUUCACUCAAUAGUGGAGGAGCAACCAAUUAGACGGAACCUAUACUCAUAAUAGAAAAGGGACAAAAGGGGUUACUAAAAUUUAUGCACUAUGGAUAAAUGCAUUAAAACCUUUAAAACAUGUGAAGGUACAUUUACAUGAAAAAUAUGCAUUUAUGAUGCACUUGAAGGAAUUCACAUAACGGACUUGGAAGACCUAGGAAACCCACUCUAGUACCUUCAAAACCUACUCGUGUUACGUGCAGAUAGAAUCCCGUUCUACUACCUACAUGUUGUAGGACCUAUCCAAUAGCUAAAGUGUAUAUCCCACAUGAUGAGAAUAAGCAUUAACCGACAUAGACUACACUAUCUAGGUAUGUAAUCCGGUGUCAUAAGACCCCACACCGCGGAAGGUGUUCUACUUGUCAAAAGUAGAACUAGGACAAAUCCCAUGUAGGCACAUGAUUUAAGGGAUAUCAAAAGGCUUCUUUGUACUCUAGUCUCAUUCUUAAGUAAAGAUGCAACCUUAAGCAUAUCUACAUGGUCCUUUUCCUUAGUUCUCAUAGAGUAAGUUCAUUCACAAAAGAUUAUUAGAAAAGGUACCAUCCCUAAGCCUUACCAAAUCACAAUACCACUACCAAUACCACUACUAAGAAGGGAUCCACAAUCGUCUACUAAUCAAGGUUCAUUAGGAUAACUCAAUCAUGAAACGGAUACCUUGCUAGGUCUAUCUGAUUCACUUCAUUAUUAACCUUCUUUUCAUAUUCAAGGUUUACAUUCACUUACGAUUCUAGACUCAUCAAGAAGAGGCACCAUUCUUAGGUAUACUGGUUCAAGAAAUUCUCUAUAAUACCUCGUUUAUCAUUGAAGUAUCAAGUAAGGACAACAAGGUCUACAUAAACAAGACACCAUAUCUACACAUAGAGACUCUUCAUAGUCUAUAGUCAUCACAUACCAAUAUUUAGAGGAAACAUGCUUCCAUUCAUAAUAUCAUAUAGCUUUAUACACAUUCAUCUCAACAUCAUAUAGCAACUUCACAAUAUGCCCAUCUUCCACAACAAAACCAAUCUUUAAUUCACCUCAUAGAGCCAUUAAGAUCACAAUCAUAAUAAGAACAAGUAGUAAGAACCUCCACUAAAUGUGGAUCAAACCAUACAAAAUCAACCUUACUAUAAUAAUAAAUUGAAUCAACUCACCAUUCUCCAAUAUUACAAUUCACCAUUAUUCAACUUCCAAUAUAACAAGCGAAUACCCAUCAUCAUGCUCAUAAGGCCAAAUAACCAAUUCAACCUUACCUCAACAAUUCAACAUAUAUAGGUAUAUAUAACAAUAAGAAUCAACACUAUAAAAAACUCUAAAUACAAUUCUAUCUAUAGACAAUCACAAUUAUCAAACCCACUUUACAAGCUAAAAUUAAGAAAUUAGAGGGAUCAUGAGUUCAUGAGGUUUUCACUUGAAAUUAUCAAUUAGAACUUAAUAUAAUCAUAAAAAUCUGAAACCAUUUAAUGCAAGAACCUAUGAGUUAAAUAAAGAAUGGGUUUUCAUCAUCUUUUGAAAAUCUAAAAUCUCUUUGAGAGUUGGCUCUAGAGAGAAAUCUAAUACUAGAUAAAGAGUCAUCAUACCUUAGUGUUGAGAAGACCACAAAAUUUGGGUUGAAAACUUAGAGAAUUGAUCCUUUUCUUGGAUCUUGAAAGUUCUUCAAUGGAGGAUUUGUGUAGAGAGAGAAUCUAGAGAGAAGGGAGAACUUUUGAUUUUUAAUUUGAGGGUUUUGUUUUUGAUUGGUGAAUUGGGUAAAAGUGACUUACAAAUCGUCUAUAAUAAUUCCUAAAAGUUCCCUAAACACCCCUACACUAUUUGGACCUUUUAAGUAACUCUAACUUGACCCUUAUUUUUCGAACUUUCAUCGAGGAGAAAGUCCGCAAUGCGGAGGUGUUCCCUGGAGUUUCUGGAAAUUAAAUUUGGGACAGAGAGGUCCAAGACCAUGUCCGCUACGUGGAACAAAUUUUUGUUCCUUUGUAGAGCAUGUCCGCGAUGGAACUAGCUCCCUAAAGGUUUUGCCCACAAGCAGUAUUGGCAGCUUCUUGGCCGAACCUUGGGUCCUCCUCAAGGACCCUUAGGUUAGUCCUUGGAUAGUUGUACCCAGAAGUUUUGACCCUAAACAUGUACAUCUAGUUGUUAUGGUCAUCACUACUGAUCUAGACCUCAAAAAAUACACUAACAUUCAACCCAAAACACCUAUCAACAUUCGAGCAUACAAUGGACUAGUCUUUGAAUGUAUUGAUCGUUUCUUGACGAUUGACCUCAAACACAACCAAUAUGACCUAUAAACUCAUUUACUCUUACUAAGUUAAUAACUCUGAAAAACCCAUGUGAGGCUCUAGAUCAUCCUAUUUCAUUUUGGGGUGUUAGACUAGAAGAUGUAGAAAGAAACAAAGAAUACCAUGUUCACAAUAGUCUCUAAGAGUGUUGUAAGCAUUGGUCAGGACAAGGCCACAAUCAUACCCAAACGGUACAAAAAAUUUAAACAUCCAAUGAAAGUUCAUGAAUAGGUGGAGCUUACCAACUCCCGGCUGAACCAUGAAUCCUAAAGAAUGGGUCAAUCAAAAACACUACCUAGACUUGCAAGCAGGAAUAAAAAAUACAGUGUUCCAGUCAACGGGAUGUCAGUACGAAUAAAAUUGUUUUUGUAUAUAAGGAAGAAAGUCGAAUCAUAAAUAGCUACCGAAAAAGGGUUAUGAAAAUACCACCUAAAAUAGAAAAUUUUAUAGCCUCCCUGGCUGACAUCUGACUUUAUGUAAAGUAAAUAUGCAUCGUAUGCUCAUGUAAUAGAAUAUCAUGAAUACAUACAUACAUUUGCAUACAUAUACAUACAUACAUAAACAUAUAAUAUAUAUAUAUAUAUAUAUAUAUAAUACACAUAUGAAAAUAAAUGUCAUACCCAAUAAAGUGAUAGCAAUGGUGGUGCCUUCGAGUAGUUAACCGACAUCACAUUUACCAACUUGUGGCGAUUUGUGUCUCAUACAUAAAAAUAUUUACAAUACGCCCUAUACCUCCCAAUUAAAGUUUAGGAAUAGAAUGCAUUGUAUGUCAUGUCAUGAAUUUGUAAUCAUUUAUCUUACCAUAAUCAUGUAGUCAAUCUUGCCUUGUUAGUACUGUUGUUCUCAUAAUAUUUUGCAUAACAUGUAAAUGACUCACAGAACCUCAUAUGCUUGUAGGUUAAAUUGGAACACUUCACUCAUAUUUAGAAAGGUAUCUUAAACCCGAGGAUGUUUCUAAAUAGCUUACAUUUGUUCAGUUAGUUUCUAUAGAUGUCUCCUUAGUAGUUUGUAAAAGAAAGUAUUUCAAAAAUAAAUAAUUUAGCGAGGAAGGAGGACGGAUUGCAAAUUCUUAAUGUUCCUCCAUAAAUUUUUUAAAGUUACAACAUCUAAAGAAGAAUAAGAAUAUAUAAACAUUGAUUGAUAGUCAAGGGAACCAACGAAAUGAAAUAUAGACGUUAAGUGUCCUAUAUAAUUGAACAAUUGGAAUAUCAGCAUAAUGGAGUCAUAAAAAAUACUUGAGCUACAAUUCCAAUGCCUUUUAAAAAAAGUCUUUCUAGCAAUAAAAUAGUAAAACAUCAUUUUAUGAUUUAGGUUUCUAAAAUUUGUGCUCAAAGGAAGUACAAUGUUUAGCCUUAAAAUACCCUGAUUAAGAGUCUUGCAGCAUUUAAAUAGACUGUACCACAUCCUUGCAGUAUGUAAUAUACACAAAAUCAUGUGACACGAUCAUUACAUGCAGAAUAGUAACACCUCAGGGUCAAAGUAGCAACUUAGAUAUUAUUAGUAGAGUGAUUAGCUUGUCUAGAGCUUUUUAAAUAUGUGCUUCAAUUCAUUCUCUUUUACAAAUUACAAUAAAAAAAUUAGUGGCAUGACACACAUUUUUUCAGCAACUAUUAACAAGUGAAAACCUACAAAAUUUCCCACCACAACCAAAUGUCUGCACAGCAAUAAAAAUUCGGUGUAUCGUCACACCCCUCCUUUCCAACAGCAAAAUAACCAUAACCAAACCCAAACCAUGUUACCAUUAAAGCCAAAAUAUAUGCAGUACUGUCCUAUAAUUUUUCAACAUAACCUAAUAACUCGAACUCAUGACUUCUGAUCAAUAUCACUUGAGUUCAUCCAAUUAUUACAGUUGGAAUCAUGUCUUUCUCCUCAUAAUUAAUAAUGUCUUAAGAGGUCAGAACUUUAACUUCAACUUGGUUAAGAUUAUAGUAUUUUAACAUGUCUUCUAAAAUACCAAAUGGUCUCCUCAUACAAGAGACCUUGAACCAAGAAGAAACCAUUUGAAAAUCGCAAUGCAAUAAUAGAACUAGUGCGAUGCUUAUUUAUCUUACAAUUCAAUACCCAUCUAUACUUUCUAUUCUCUCCCAAAUUUAUAUCAAUAACAACCACAGACAAAAAAAUAAUUUUCAAGAAUUCCGGCAAAAAUAACAUCAAAAAAUACUUCAAAAUAUCCCAACAUCACAUAACUAUCCAAAUACGAUUUUCCAACUAUCUAUUCAUGUGUUCUUGCUUAUAUAACUUUGUUAUAACUUGAAUUCACUCAAUAAAAUAAAGGGUGAGAAUUCUUACCUCCAUAUAGAAGAAAAACCACCUCAAAUUGAGACUCCUUCACCAUGAAGCAUCCUUCAAAUUACAACUAAAAAGGAGAAAAGAAGUAACAUAAUAUUUAAGAACAUUGGAAUGGUGUAACCAUGCUGAAAUCUUAUAUUUUUUGGUUUGGAUGGUAGGUGAACCCUUAGAGAGGAUUUUGGACUACUUUUAUUCUUAUUUGUGCUAAAAUAAUAAGAUGAAAGGAAAGGAAAAUAAAUAUAAUAAAGCUAAACCGACAUAGGGAUAUGGGGGCCAUCUUAACGUGUCUGCUUGUUUAGUCUCACAACAAUGUCAAUGUAAAUCUAUUCCAAAGUCGUGUUAAUGAACUAAUUAAUGCAUCGUAAAAAGUAGAUGUAAGAUCCCAAAAAUGACAUAGGUGAAGCUAGAGCCUAACAUGGUUGUCAUGAUGGUAUAAGGUCCUAAAGUGGACUAAAAUGUAGUAUUGAGGCAGUGUCUAGAGUUUUAGGUGAUUUAGAAGUGAAACAUCAAGGGACGACCAACGCGUUUGACAACUAAGUCACCUAUGUUCCUCAUAUGUGUUUAGGUGCCUAAUUGUGUGUUUCAUGAUUUAAUGAGGUAAUUAUAUGAGUUAUUAUAGUGUUUAUAGGUAGUUUGUCAAGUUUCAUGAAGUUUGGAGGUCAAACGUCCAAGAACGUCCAUGACGUUCGAAAGGUUUGCCUCGAAAUAACCUCGGGUGUCUAUGCAUGUUUCGUCUCAAGUUUUAGAUGUUCGUUUUGAAUGAAAUUGAUGUGAUAGGUCCUAAAAUAAUAUACUAACAUAUUUGGGUUGGAAACUUCCUAGUAAGACUCCAUGUAGGACCCACAAGGGGCCCUAGAAAGAGGAUCCAAGCUUCGAGCUCAACAUUGCCAUGCAGUGGCAAUCGACUACCCCGAACGACGGCCAGUCGAUCAGGCAAUGGCCCUUCGAUGGAUGUCAUCGAUUAAGCUAUGUGGCCUGCAUGUUGAUAAGAUUCAAAUGCAACCAACGAACCCCAUCGACGGGGCGUAGUCUCACCCAUGGACCGUCGAUGGUGCUGUGAAAAAUCUGCAACCUUUCUGUUAAGGCUUGGGGUUUUUUGGAAAUUUAACCCAAGUCUUAUAAAAUAGAAGGAUGGUUAUUUUGGGUGUUUAAGGUUAUUUUAAGAGUAUAUACCUAAUACUCUCAUAUAAACCCUAGCACCUAUAUCAAAACUCAUUCCCUCCCAAUGUUUCUUAAAAAACCUCCAUAGAGCUCAAGGUGGAGAUAAAGCUUGAAGAUGGAUCUUCAAUGGAGUAUAUAUUCAAUUAUCAUUGUAUUAUUCUAAUAAGGUAUGAGAUUUAUUCAUCUAAGUCUUUCUAUCACCUUAGAUCCAAUUUCAAAGAUGAUUUUCAAAGAUUUCAAAAAGAUGAAAAAGUCCAAUUUCUACUAUAAAUCUUGGGUUCUUGCAUGAAAGGUUUUCGAACAUUAAGAUAUGAUAUUAUUGGUGUAUAAUUGAUGUUUUCCAAUGAAAUUCUCCAUGAACCCUUGACCUUCACAAAUCUCUCAAUUUGACUAAAAUAUGGGUUAUGUGAUCAUGUUUUGAUAUUAAUGAAUUCAAGUGUAGAUUUUUAUGGCUUUUGAUUCAUGUGUAGAUUAUGAUUGAUUGGUUUAUAGGAUGUUUCAAUUUGAUCAAUUGAGUAUUGUAUAUUUUUAGAUCUAUUUAAUAUUAAGCUUAUUGAAUUGAUAUUUACUUAAGGCUUAUGAAUUCUAGUGUAGUUUCCUAUGGGCUAUUGAUUGAUGUAAUAAUUGUAUUGAAUUGAUAUCUAGGUUGUCUUAGAUUAAUGAAUCUAUAAUGAAUUGACCUAGAUUCAUUGAGUGCUAUAGUUUAUGUAUUGAAUUGAUGUUCAUGGCCAUGGGUAAGGUCCUUAUGUUAUUGAAUUGGAUGAUUUGACUUUGGAUUGAAGUGGUGAGAUUGAACGAUGGUAUGCUGCCCUAGCUCUAUUAAUAUUAUAUAUAGUUUUUAUAUUAUAAUGUUAAUCGGUAUGGUCCACUUAUGUUGGCGUGCUAUGUGAAUUGAUGUGGCCUUGUCGACGUUACUUUAUGCAAUAUGAUUAUCAUGGCCUUGUCGCCACUACUAGAAGUAUUUUUAUGAUUUGUGAAGUUGAUUUAUGUGAAGUAUGAGCAUAUCUAUCUAUAUGUGAAGUAAUGUGAAAUUAUGUGUUUUGAGAUCAUGUAGACUAUGGCUAUGUGCUUGUAUGUGUAGUCUUAGAUGUUGAUCCAUAGUUGUUCCUACUUGACUGUAUGAGUCUGUGAUGGUUAUAUUGAUGAUGAUAUGGUUGUGUAUAGGAUGACAUAAAGAUGAUAAGGGUUAUUCCUAAGUGACUUAAAGAAUGACAUGUAAUAUGUGUUAAAGUGAAGUAUGUUGUAUCUUGUAUUUGUUUACUUGUGUCCCUUACUUGAUGCAUGUAUGAAUGAAUAUGAGUUGUCUUGACUUAGGAUGUUAAAGACUCUUAGUCUUGUAUGUACGAAUGACAUGUGACCUUGAAUGAUGUUAACCGGGUCUUUAUGUGUAACCUUGAGCCUAGUGGUAAGGUUAUGAAUGUUGAAGUUAAAAGUCAUAAUGGUAUCCUUCAAGUAAAGGAAUGAUAGACUUAAGGUUGAUUGGCUGGAAUGGCAUCAUAUCAAUCCUUGGGAAAGUCAUUAUGAUCUUCUUAUCACCAUUGUAAGGUAGCUCUAGUGGACCUUUCUUUGGUAAGGUAAAUGUGAUUGGGUUAUGAACUUGAUAUGGAACCCCUUUAUAUGAACCUUUAAUGAAAAUUACUCUAUGAGAACAAAGGCUAGCACCGAGUGACUAUGGUAAGGGAAGUAGUUCUAGUUAAAGGAUGAGACUAGAAUACAAAGCACGCCCUUCAUAUUCCUUAACCAUGUGCCUACAUGGGAUGUGUCCAAGUUCUACCAUUGGCUAGUAAUAUACCCUCAUUAGAGUACGUUAGAACUCCGGAUUCCAUGCUUUGCUACCAUGGUCUAUGUCGGUUAUUUCCUAGUCUCAUCAUAUGGACUACCUACUAGCAUUAGAGAAGUUCUAUGGUUUAAGAGGUGGUAUGGGACGUUAUCUAGAGAUUGCACAAUAGGUUUUGAAGGUGUUAGUUAGAGUCCCUAGGUCUUGUCCAAGACCAUUACUUGAAUGUCUUUAUGUGAUGAAUGAGUCUUAAAUGAACUAAUGAAUGUAAUGAUUUAAGUUAAGAAAGUAUGUUAAAUGAAUAAGUACUUAUCUAGAGUAGUUAAGGGUUGUUUAGUUAAGGUGUGAAGGGGGCAUGAGAAUGGUCACUUUUUAUCUUAGCUAGAUAAGUGUUAAGAAUGACUCUAGUUAGGGAAGAUGGUUGAUUAUAUAGACAUGAUCCAAACUUAGGUAUUCUUAAGGAUUACUUAGGUAAUCUUGAAGAGUCCAAUCAUGGACGUUAUCUUCUUGAUUUACUUAAGUAAGUCUUUUGAUAACCUUUGUAGAGGAGAAUGUCAUAUUAUAUGGAUGCUAAUGUAUUAAGUAAGAAUGAUUCCAUCUUAGGUAGUAUAUAGUAUCUCUUAAGUGUGUGUGUGUGUAAGGGAUUGUAGCGGUUGUUUCACAACUCACUCAAGUGAACCUUAGAAUCACAUUUGAUAGGAGGAUCUCAUAUUCAUGUGAUUGAUGUAUUUGAAAGUGUGUAUAUCUCAUUAUGGGUGGUCUUAAGGAUCAUUUAGGUGUGCCUACAGAGGGUGUAUGGGCGGUCUCUCUUUUUCUUACUUAAGUGAGUCUUAGGAUAGCUCUUAGUGAGGGGAUUGUAUGCUAAAAAGGUUUGUAAAGUGAUAAAAGGAACUUCAUUGUACAAUGAACUAAGUCACCGUGAUGUUUUCCUAAAAAGGUGAAUAAUUGCUAAAAUGAUUUCUUCUGCGUUUCUAAGUUGUUAAAUGUUGUUCUUAUGAUUAUAGUAUGAUGUUUUAAUAAAAAUUCAUGAAAAGCAUGUUAUUUUCUAAAUUUCCCUUUUUCAUUGGUUUUUGCAUGGCUUUCAUACUUAGUGCAUGUAAUGUGCUAACCCUUUCUUUUCCCUUUUUGACUAAAGUGGAGGGAAGUGUGCCACGGAGAGUGGAUAGGUUUCUAAGGGUUAAAGAUGAAGUAUUGGUGAGUCCUCAUCAAUUCGAGGACAAUAUCCACGUGUUCCCUUAUGUCUUAGUCUUUAUUUUAUGUCUUGUAUGGGUUUAGUCCCAAGUAUUGUAUACUCUAAAGUCUAGAGGUUCAAGGAGAUGUUGUAAAGGUUUAAUGUAUUAAAUGAAAGUCUUCCUCUUGUGUAAUCAUUCUGGAAAGAGUUCUUCGUGUGUGAACAAAGUUUUAAAUUAUCACUCAUUUUAGUAUGUUUGUUAUGCAAUGAAUGAUACGAAUGGCUUAGAUGAGACUUCUUGAAGUCUCAUUUGCCGUGUGGCUACACAAGGAUGCUCUAACUUCUAUGGUGUACUUGCGGGUUGUUACAGUAGACUUCUAGACCUUUGAUUGGUAUCUUAGGGUCCUUUUAAAACCUUAAAUAUUAAGAGAAAAUUCUCGAAACAUUUAACUAAAAUUUUAGAAAGUUUAUCAAAGAAACUUACACUAACUUGGACGAAUUUUAUUUUACAAUUUGCUUGACUUCAAAAUUUCAAUCAUCGUGCAACUAUAUUACUUUAUCAAACAUCCUUAUUAUCAUAUAAGACAAUCUUAGUCUUAUCCCUAUAGUACUAGUUAAUUUAAACCUUCUGAACGAGCGGGUGUUACAAGAGGCAUUCUUUAACUCGAACCUGUUUAAAGGAUAACUUUAGUCUAAUUUUUUGAUUUGACAACCCUUUAAAACCUUAUUAUCCCGACAUGAUACACCAAGUCAUAUACACCUCAUACACUCAUGCCCCAUGCUACAUAUAUUAUGUAAAAGAACCACGGGCUCUCACAUUUGGGCUUAGAGUCAAAAUCAUGAUCAAUGGAUGGUUUAUAUGGAAUUGAUUAGAAAGCAUGAAAUUGAGUAUAAGUAUUCAUAAUAUGAGUAAAUCAAACAAAUUAAAUCCAUACAAAUAUAACCCAUGAGGAAUUGAAUAAAAACCUAACCAAUUGAAUUAAAAUUGAAUUGGAGAAAUAAAGAAUCUUUUGAGACUCAAUGGGUGAAUAAUACUCAUUGAUGAACUUCGUACAUACCUUAAUCUUGUAUCUCUAAGCAAAGAUGAAGAAAGGUGACUUGAACUUGAAGAAUCCUUGAGAACCUUGGAGAGAAAACCUUGGAAAGAAACUUCAAAAAUUUGGGGGGAAUGAAGAGAAUGGGUAGAACUUAGGGGUUAAAUCAGUUAUUAAGUCCCUUUUUAUAGACAAAACGACUUACUAUAGGAAUAGGAGCAUAGGGAAAAAAUUCCAAAUACCUCUUUAAAAAUAACUUUCAGACAGCCCUACGGUCCAUACGAAUUCCUAUAGCCCGUUCUGGUGACCUGUAAAACCAACUUUGGAAACCCAAAAAAUUCAUUCAUUUCCCAUAAGACCAUUAUACAGUCUAUUUAAUAUUCUAUAGUUGGUGGACCACAUCUGUAAAACCCAAUUUAACUCCAAAAUCUCUAAAUUUUUGAAGCUUUCUAUGAAACCCAUUAUACGACUCAUAGAAAAAAUGAUGACCUGUCAAAUCCUUCGGUGACACGGAGAUCUUACUAAAUCUCUGAAUCCACCCUAUUAAUUAUCUCUACAACCCGUCAAACUAUCUAUAACAUCAUGUCAAGUCAUAGGUCUAAUCUUCAGAAACUUAAUUUUUCAAAACUCAACUCUAGGUCUACGACUUCGUUCCUGUGGUGUAACGACCUGUUUAGUCGUUUUGAGCAGCAGAUUUUAUUUCGGGAAAAACAGGUUGAGACGACGGACCCCACGACAGACCGUCAUGGGCACGACGGACCGUCGCAGGGUCUCGUUUCAAAACACUUAGAAAAACUAAAAAUUGGGUACUGAAAAUCGACUCUCUGAACUUCGUAACGAAAUGGCAGGACGGACCGUCACAGGUGUGACGGACCGUCACAGACCCUUGGUGGAAAUUUGGGUCUCUGAACUUUGCGACGACCUGCAGGACGGACCGUCGCAGGCACGACGGCCCAUCACAGGUUACGCAAAUCCUAGUCUGGGUCGGAUUUCUUUGCACGUUUUAAGGGACAUUUUGGACUAUUCCUACUUUAAUUAUAAAGUUAGAGGGUUAAGGUUAAUAAGUCUAAUUACUUGGGGGUUAAAAUAGGUAACCUUAAGUUAAUUAGUGGGUCAUUAUUACCAUCUUUCAUUCUUAAUUAUAUAUUAAUUAGGGUAAAAGAAAGAGGGUUGAAUAAAGAAAAUUAGAAAGAACAAAGAGAGGGAAAGAGAAACGAAUUGAGAAAGGAUCGAACGAGAAGAAGGAACAAAAGCCUUGGGAAUUUCUUGCUUAAUCACAAAUCUUCGGUGGAGGUAGGUUAUGGUUUUCAUGCUUUCAUAGUAAACUCUUAAUAGAGAAUGAUAUAUAUUGAUAGUAUUGUAAACCCUGCUAUGUGCUUAAUUGUAUGCAUGCAUGAACGUGAUUAUAUAAUUGUGAUUAUAUUAAGCAUAAUGAAGUUAUUGAAUCCCAAAUCUUGAUAAAAACCUAAUCUCUUUUUAAUGAUGAUGCCUUGGUAAGGGAGAAGGCUUGAUGAACUAAAGUAAUGAGAUUGAUGAUGCCUUGGUGAGAAAGAAGGCUUGAUGAAUUGAUGGAAGGAGAUUAGAGGAUCGGGUGUCACGAACCGACACGUAGAAUUAGGGGAUCGGGUGUCACGAACCGACAUGUAGAAUUAGGGGAUCGGGUGUCACGAACCGACACGUAGAAUUAGGGGAUCGGGUGUCACGAACCGACACGUAGAAUAAGGGGAUCGGGUGUCACGAACCGACACGUGGAAUUAGGGGAUCGGGUGUCACGAACCGACACGUAGAUUUAGGGAUCGGGUGUCACGAACCGACACGUAGAUUUAGGGGAUCGGAGUGUCACGUACCGACACAAGAGGAUUAAUAAUAUGAGGGAGCGGAGUGUCACGUGCCAACACAAGAGAAAUAAAGAUAAUGAAUCUUGAAAGAUGUUAAUAUACUCAAUCUAAUGAACAUGAUUCCCAAAUGAGUAUGGUAUUGAGGCUUGAGUCCUCAUGUGUGAACUUGAUGGUAAUUGUUAAUGAUAUAGUGCUUGUUGUUGCUACAUGUUGAGUAUCAUAGUUGAUUUUAUGAUAUUACUUGGUAUAUAUUGUUUUCUAUUUUGAGUUGGCCGAUGAUAUCUACUCAGUACCCGUGUUUUGUACUGACCCCUACUUUUAUGUUUUCUUCUUGUUUAUUUGUGGAGUGCAGCAAACGUGCCAUCGUCUUCAACUCAACAGUAAUUCAAGCCAGUCUUACUACAUCGGAAAUUCAGGGUGAGCUAAUGCUUCUAGCUUGGACUGGAUCUUCUUCUUCAAGUCUUGAUGCCUUGAACUUCCGGCAUGGACUAGCUUCUUAUGUAUUUUUUUUAGCUUUUAGAAUACUCUUAGUUUAGUCAUUUGAUCGUAGAUGUUCUUGUGAUGAUGACUUCCAGAUUUUGGGGAAUAAUAUAUGUUGAAAUAAUAAUAGUUAUUGAUUUUAUUAAUGAGUUUAAGUCUUCCGCAUUACUUUAUGUUGAUAUUAUAUUGAAAUGUUAAGGUUUAGAUGGGUUGGUUCGCUCACAUAGGAGGGUAAGUGUGGGUGCCAGUCGCAACCCGGUUUGGGUCGUGACAAACUUGGUAUCAGAGCAUUAGGUUCGUUGGUCUCAUCACACAAGAACGAGUCUAGUAGAGUCUUAAGGAACGGUAGGGGGACGCCUUUUCUUUUCCUUGAGAGGCUAUAAGACUUUAGGAAAAUUCCAUUCUUUCUUUCUUCUUUCGUGCUAUUACUUGGGUCCAAUUGGUAUCUAGGUGAUACAAAUUGGUAUCUGACCAUCUUCACUCUAUUUCGCAGAUGGUUAGAACUAGAGCAACGACUACGCCAACACCAACACCAGCACUAGCGGGACAGGGUGCGUCUGAGCCAGCCACUGGGGCUGUAGCUCGAGGAAGAGCAGUGGCAAGAGGCCGUGGUAGAGGUCGUGGGAGGACGUCCUCUAGGGGAAGAGGACGAGCACCUAGCCCAUCUGAUACUACGGUAGUGACUCCUCCACCGACUGAGGAAGUGAUAAGAGAGGGGGAGGAUGGGGUGAAUGAACAAGUGCAAAAUGAGGAAAUGCCACCCCAACCUACCCCAGAGAUGAUCAAUCAGGUUCUGACUUAUCUUAGCGGGUUAUCUGAUCAAGGUCAGGCACCUCCAGUGUUUUCUGCGCCAACCCCUCCGGUUUCAGAAGUACGACAUGCAGCCACUAUGGCUCCUCGUAUGGAGGCCUCAUUGGACAUAGGCACAUUUCCACGUCUGACUACUAGGCCUAUAAUGACAAAUGAUCAGCAUGAACUUUUCAGUAAGUUCUUGAAAUUGAAACCUCCGGUCUUCAAGGGUGCUGAAUCGGAGGAUGCUUAUGAUUUUCUGGUUGACUGUCACGAGCUACUACACAAGAUGGGUAUAGUAGAACGGUUUGGUGUGGAGUUUGUGACUUAUCAGUUUCAAGGGAACGCCAAAAUGUGGUGGCGGUCACAUAUCGAGUGUCAACCAAUAGAGGCACCACCUAUGACUUGGGCCUCAUUCUCUAGCUUGUUUAUGGAGAAGUAUAUCCCCCAAACUUUGAGGGAUAGGAAAAGGGAUGAGUUCUUGAGCCUAGAGCAAGGUAGGAUGUCAGUCAAUGCAUAUGAGGCUAAGUUCCGUGCAUUAUCCCGGUAUGCCACCCAAUUAUGUUUCAGUCCCCAAGAGCGAAUUCGCCGAUUUGUGAAGGGGUUGAGGUCAGAAUUGCGGAUUUCGGCCUUACAGAUAGCGGCAACGGCAAAAUCCUUCCAAGAGGUGGUAGACUUUGUGAUAGAAGUGGAAGGAGUGAAGCCAGACGACUUCACUACGACAUCGACAUCAAAAAAGUUUCGAAAGGGAGGUGAGUUUAAUGGUACUUACACAAGAGGACAGGGUUCGGGAAGUUACUCAGUCCGACCAAUUCAGUCUUCACUACAGACUGUAGUUGGGGGACCACCUUAGACCGGUCAACACUUCUCCGAGAGACCUAUGCUUGACUCCAGAGAGUGUUACGGAUGUGGGGAGACUGGACAUAUUAGGAGAAAUUGUCCAAAACAGAGUUACAGACCCCCAAUAACUAGAGGUAGAGGUGGUCAUGGUAGAGGCCAUUUUUCUGGAGGGCGUGGUGGUCGAGGAAAUGGUGGUCACCAAAACGGCUGAGGUGAUGGGCAAACUGGAGCCACUACAUUACAACAUGGUAGGGGCAACGGACAGACGAACGAUAGGGCCCAUUGUUACGCUUUCCCUGGGCGGUCUGAAGCGGAGGCAUCUGAUGCUGUCAUCACAGGUAAUCUUUUGGUUUGUGAUUGCAUGGCUUCUGUAUUAUUUGAUCCCGGAUCCACAUUUUCUUAUGUAUCUUCCGCAUUUGCUAAUGGUCUUAAUUUACAUUGUGAAUUGCUUGACAUACCUAUUCGUGUUUCUACUCCGGUGGGUGAAUCUGUGAUAGUUGAAAAGGUGUAUAGGUCUUGUCUUAUAACUUUUGUGGGGAGCAAUACUUAUGUAGACUUGGUUAUCUUAGAAAUGGUUGAUUUUGAUGUAAUUCUGGGUAUGACUUGGCUUUCUCCGCAAUUUGCGAUCUUGGAUUGUAAUGCUAAAACGGUGACGUUAGCCAAGCCUGGGGCAGAUCCGUUAGUGUGGGAGGGUGACUACACUUCCAAUCCGGUGCGUAUCAUCUUCUUUCUUUGUGCUAAGAAAAUGGUUAGUAAAGGGUGUUUAGCUUUCUUGGCACAUCUCAAGGAUGACACUACCCAAGUACCUUCGAUUGAGUCAGUUUUGGUAGUCCGCGAGUUUUUGGAUGUGUUCCCUGCAGAUCUUCCUGAUAUGCCACCAGAUAGGGAUAUUGACUUCUGUAUCGAUCUUGAACCGGGCACACGCCCCAUUUCUAUACCCCCUUAUAGAAUGGCUCCCGCAGAGUUAAGAGAGUUAAAAGCCCAACUUCAAGAGUUGUUAAACAAAGGCUUUAUUAGACCAAGUGCAUCUCCUUGGGGUGCUCCGGUUUUGUUUGUAAAGAAGAAGGAUGGGAGUUUUCGAAUGUGUAUAGACUACAGACAACUAAACAAGGUAACCAUAAAGAACAAGUAUCCUCUUUCCCGCAUUGAUGAUUUGUUCGAUCAGUUACAAGGUGCUUGUGGCUUCUCUAAGAUUGACUUGAGAUCCGGUUAUCAUCAAUUGAAAAUACGGGCAACGGAUGUGCCAAAGAAUGCUUUUCGAACGAGGUAUGAGCAUUACGAAUUUGUAGUGAUGUCUUUUGGUCUUACGAAUGCCCCUGCUGCAUUCAUGAGCUUGAUGAAUGGUAUUUUUAAGCCAUAUUUGGACCUCUUCGUGAUUGUAUUUAUUGAUGAUAUAUUGGUAUACUCAAAGAGCAAGAAGGAACAUGAAGAGAAUUUGAGAAUGGUAUUGGAAAUGUUGAGGGAGAAAAAGCUUUAUGCCAAGUUCUCUAAGUGUGAGUUUUGGCUAGAUGCAGUGUCCUUCUUGGGACACGUGGUUUUUUAAGGAUGGAGUGAUGGUGGAUCCUUCUAAGAUUGAGACAGUGAAGAAUUGGGUAAGACCUACUAAUGUGUCAGAAAUAAGGAGCUUUGUUGGGUUAGCUAGCUACUACCGUCGAUUUGUCAAGGGAUUCUCUUCUAUUGCUUCCCAACUGACGAACUUGACUAAGCAAAAUGUUCCAUUUGUAUGGUCAGAUGAGUGUGAGGAAAGCUUUCAGAAGCUCAAAACUUUGUUGACUACCGCACCUAUUCUUACCUUGCCAGUAGAGGGUAAGAACUUCAUUGUUUAUUGUGAUGCAUCCUAUUCGGGUUUGGGUGCAGUGCUAAUGCAAGAGAAGAAUGUGAUUGCUUAUGCUUCAAGACAAUUAAAAGUGCAUGAACGUAACUAUCCAACUCAUGAUUUGGAAUUGGCUGCGGUAGUGUUUGCAUUAAAGCAAUGGAGACACUAUUUAUAUGGGGUUAAGUGUGAGGUCUACACAGAUCAUCGUAGCCUUCAGUAUGUCUUUACUCAGAAAGAUUUGAACUUGAGGCAGAGGAGAUGGAUGGAACUACUGAAGUACUACGACAUCACUAUUUUGUAUCAUCUGGGGAAGGCGAAUGUUGUAGCGGAUGCUCUAAGUAGAAAGGCGGGAAGCAUGGGAAGUCUAGCUCACUUGCAAGCUUCUAGACGCCCACUGGCUAGAGAGGUUCAGACUCUAGCUAAUGACUUGAUGAGAUUAGAAGUAAACGAGAAGGGAGGAUUGUUGGCUUCUGUGGAGGCAAGAUCUUCCUUUCUUGACAAGAUUAAGGGAAAGCAGUUUAAUGAUAAAAAAUUGAUCCAGAUCCGAGAUAAAGUGUUGCGAGGAGAGGCUAAGGAAGCACAAAUCGAUGAGGAAGGUGUUUUGAGGAUCAAGGGCAGGGUAUGUGUACCCCGCGUCGAUGAUUUGAUCAACACCAUUCUGACAGAGGCUCAUAGUUCAAGGUAUUCUAUACAUCCGGGUGCAACCAAGAUGUAUCGUGACCUAAAGCAACACUUUUGGUGGAGCAGAAUGAAGCGUGAUAUUGUUGACUUUAUUGCCAAGUGUCCAAACUGUCAACAAGUAAAGUAUGAACACCAGAGGCCCGGAGGAACACUUCAGAGAAUGCCCAUUCCUGAAUGGAAGUGGGAGAGAAUUGCAAUGGACUUUGUGGUUGGUCUUCCAAGGACAAUGGGUAAGUAUGACUCCAUUUGGGUGAUUGUUGAUAGGUUAACUAAAUCUUCUCAUUUUAUUCCGGUCAAGGUGACUUACAAUGCCGAGAAGUAAGCCAAGAUCUAUAUCUCAGAAAUCAUUCGAUUGCAUGGGGUUCCACUAUCCAUCAUAUCAGAUAGAGGUACGCAGUUUACUUCUAAGUUUUGGAAAACAUUGCAUGCGGAAUUGGGUACUAGGUUGGACCUUAGUACUGCGUUCCAUCCUCAGACCGAUGGUCAGUCUGAGCGAACGAUUCAAGUGUUGGAGGAUAUGCUUCGUGCAUGUGUGAUAGAGUUUGGUGGUCAUUGGGAUAGCUUCCUACCCUUAGCGGAGUUUUCAUACAAUAAUAGCUAUCACUCAAGCAUUGAUAUGGCUCCGUUUGAAGCAUUGUAUGGUAGGAGAUGUAGGUCUCCCAUUGGUUGGUUUGAUGCGUUCGAGGUUAGACCUUGGGGUACUGAUCUCUUGAGGGAUUCGAUGGAAAAAGUGAAGUCUAUUCAAGAAAAGCUUCUAGCGGCGCAAAGUAGACAAAAAGAAUAUGCAGAUCGAAAGGUUAGAGACUUAGAGUUCAUGGAGGGUGAACAAGUCUUGUUGAAAGUUUCACCAAUGAAAGGGGUGAUGCAGUUUGGUAAAAGGGGUAAACUAAGUCCAAGGUACAUUGGACCAUUUGAAGUACUUAAGCGAGUAGGGGAGGUGGCUUAUGAGUUAGCCUUGCCUCCAGGGCUGUCCGGAGUACAUCCGGUAUUCCAUGUGUCGAUGUUGAAAAGAUACCAUGGGGAUGGAAACUACAUUAUCCGUUGGGAUUCAGUUUUGCUUGAUGAGAACUUGUCUUAUGAGGAGGAGCCUGUUGCUAUUCUAGAUAGAGAAGUUCGCAAGUUGAGGUCAAGAGAGAUUGCAUCCAUCAAGGUGCAAUGGAAGAAUCGACCGGUUGAAGAAGCAACUUGGGAGAAGGAGGCGGAUAUGCGAGAAAAAUACCCACAUCUGUUUACAGAUUCAGGUACUCCUUUUUGCCCUUGUUUUCCUUCUUGUGAUCAUUCGGGGACGAACGAUGGGUAAAUUGGUAUCUAUUGUAACGACCUGUUUAGUCGUUUUGAUCAGCAGAUUUUAUUUUGGGAAAAACAGGUUGAGGCGACGGACCCCACAACGGACCGUCAUGGGCACGACGGACCGUCGCAGGGUCUCGUUUCAAAACACUUAGAAAAACUGAAAAUUGGGUACUGAAAAUCGACUCUCUGAACUUCGUAACGAAAUGGCAGGACGAACCGUCACAGGUGUGACGGACCAUCACAGACCCUUGGUGGAAAUUUGGGUCUCUGAACUUUGCGACGACCUGCAGGACGGACCGUCGCAGGCACGACGGCCCGUCACAGGUUGCGCAAAUCCCAAUCUGGGUCGGAUUUCUUUGCACGUUUUAAGGGACGUUUUGGACUAUUCCUACUUUAAUUAUAAAGUUAGAGGGUUAAGGUUAAUAAGUCUAAUUACUUGGGGGUUAAAAUAGGUAACCUUAAGUUAAUUAGUGGGUCAUUAUUACCAUCUUUCAUUCUUAAUUAUAUAUUAAUUAGGGUAAAAGAAAGAGGGUUGAAUAAAGAAAAUUAGAAAGAACAAAGAGAGGGAAAGAGAAACGAAUUGAGAGAUGAUCGAACGAGAAGAAGGAACAAAAGCCUUGGGAAUUUCUUGCUUAAUCACAAAUCUUCGGUGGAGGUAGGUUAUGGUUUUCAUGCUUUCAUAGUAAACUCUUAAUAGAGAAUGAUAUAUAUUGAUAGUAUUGUAAACCCUGCUAUGUGCUUAAUUGUAUGCAUGCAUGAACGUGAUUAUAUAAUUGUGAUUAUAUUAAGCAUGAUGCCUUGGUAACGGAGAAGGCUUGAUGAACUAAAGUAAUGAGAUUGAUGAUGCCUUGGUGAGAAAGAAGGCUUGAUGAAUUGAUGGAAGGAGAUUAGGGGAUUGGGUGUCACGAACCGACACGUAGAAUUAGGGGAUCAGGUGUCACGAACCGACACAUAGAAUUAGGGGAUCGGGUGUCACGAACCGACACGUAGAUUUAGGGGAUCGGGUGUCACGAACCGACACGUAGAAUUAGGGGAUCGGGUGUCACAAACCGACACGUAGAUUUAGGGGAUCGGGUGUCACGAACCGACACGUAGAUUUAGGGGAUCGGAGUGUCACGUACCGACACAAGAGGAUUAAUGAAUAUGAGGGAGCGGAGUGUCACGUGCCGACACAAGAGAAAUAAAGAUAAUGAAUCUUGAAAGAUGUUAAUAUACUCAAUCUAAUGAACAUGAUUCCCAAAUGAGUAUGAUAUUGAGGCUUGAGUCCUCAUGUGUGAACUUGAUGGUAAUUGUUAAUGAUAUAGUGCUUGUUGUUUCUACAUGUUGAGUAUCAUAGUUGAUUUUAUGAUAUUACUUGGUAUAUAUUGUUUUCUAUUUUGAGUUGGCCGAUGAUAUCUACUCAGUACCCGUGUUUUGUACUGACCCCUACUUUUAUGUUUUCUUCUUGUUUAUUUGUGGAGUGCAGCAAACGUGCCAUCGUCUUCAACUCAACAGUAAUUCAAGCCAGUCUUACUACAUCGGAAAUUCAGGGUGAGCUAAUGCUUCUAGCUUGGACUGGAUCUUCUUCUUCAAGUCUUGAUGCCUUGAACUUCCGGCAUGGACUAGCUUCUUAUGUUUUUUUUUUAGCUUUUAGAAUACUCUUAGUUUAGUCAUUUGAUCGUAGAUGUUCUUGUGAUGAUGACUUCCAGAUUUUGGGGAAUAAUAGAUGUUGAAAUAAUAAUAGUUAUUGAUUUUAUUAAUGAGUUUAAGUCUUCCGCAUUACUUUAUGUUGAUAUUAUAUUGAAAUGUUAAGGUUUAGAUGGGUUGGUUCGCUCACAUAGGAGGGUAAGUGUGGGUGCCAGUCGCAACCCGGUUUGGGUCGUGACAUGUGGUGCAUAUAUUUGACUCGUAGAACCUGCUCAAUGGAAAAAAUAGUAUUUCAAUUUUUCUUUCGAAUUUCUAACUUCCAGGAUGCUAUAUUAGUGGUAGCCACUUUAGCGGCCUAGGGACUUCUUAGUCGGGGCUGGCCAGCCAUGUGCUUGGUCGCUUAAGCGGUCAUUUUGCCACCUUAGUGUUAAUGAUUGGUGAAUAUAUCUAGAUGUUCCUCCUCAUUUUCCCAAAAUUUGAAUCAUUUUUAUGUGAUUAAUUUUGACCUAAUGUAAUUUCAUUUUAUUGAGCUGAAAUAGUGUUAGGGCUUUAUAAAGCUCAUUAUUCACGCUCGUAGACCCAUAAGUUCUAAUAAUUUCCUUACCUUUAAGCUUGAUUUUGAAAAUUCUUACGCUAUUUUAUGUUGUGGCGUGUUUAGGAAUCGUUAAUGCUUAUAUUAUGCCCAUGUUUGGGGUACAAGCUCCUUAAACUAAUUGGGACCCAAUGAUGGAGUUAAUUUUGUCUCUUUGCAUGGGUCCCAAAAUGCCAUUUUUGGUUUUUUAGUUCUAUUUUUAUUACAAUUAGGGUGUCAAAAUGUGUGUAUUGAUGUGUGGAUAACUAAUCCAAUAGAAUGGCAUCAUCUUGAGGUGGCUCAGAAAGGGAAGACACCAGUUUAGUGGUUUUCACUAGUGUGAUAGGCUUUGAGGUAGGAUACGUCGUACUAUCUAUUGAUCUUGUUUGUUGAUUGUUCUAGCAUGCUAAUUAGCUAAUUAUGGGGGUGGAUUUCUAGCAUUAUUCCUUGUUAUUUUCCCUACUUGUAUCAUUUAGGCCUUUUUCGAUUAUUUUAGGUGAUUCUUGAGAUUUGUAUUACUCAUUGACAUCCAAUUUGUCACAGUGAGUUGAAUUUAGGCUAUAAUGACCUUAGUGUUGUUAUUGUGGAGUGUUACCUUAUGUUUGGCUAGAGUUACUUUAGAAGUAGAAUUUUAGGGCCCAUACAACUAGUUUUGGGAUUGGAUUUAGGUUAGAUGAUACCGAUCGAGCUAGGAUAUGACCUUCUAGUAGCCCUGCUUGGACUUUUGGUUAGCAGGCUAGGGUGAGUGGUUAGCUUGACUCAUGCAGGGCCCUUUUUACUUUUAGCUUUAUAGCUUACCCGGGGUGAGAUUAUAGGAGAAUCUAGCUAGUGUUGUGGAUAUUCUUAUGUGAGAUUCAUGCAAAGUAACCCAACUAGGUUAAGGAUUAAUCCCACAAAGAGCCUACUUGAUUUAUUUUAAUAAUUUGAUACUGAGAUUCAAAUCAGUAACUAUUAUUGUAACAUUAGAAAUUUUUAUGAGAACUAAUUACUAUUACUUUGAUUCGAUUUAUUUUAAUAAUUUGAUGUUGAGAUUCAAAUCAGUAACUAUUAUUGUAACAUUAGAAAUUUUUAUGAGAACUAAUUACUAUUACUUUGAUUCCUACCAAUAAUAACUGUGAACUAGGAUUAUAGUUCUUAGUUAUCAGAAUGCAAAUAAAUACUUUAUUAUCAAUUCAUUCAUUUGUGUUCAUUGUGCAAAAACUUAUAAAUCGUUAAGUCUCCUAAAUCCUCUUGGCCUAACUAAAAGAAUAUAAUCGUAAGUCCUUCCCGACAAUUGAGUAUCAAAUUAAAUUGUUCAUCAAUCAAAAGCCUCAUGCAAGCUAGUUGUCAUUACAAAAAAUAUACCCUAGGUGUAACAUGACGUAUAGAAACCCGAGAAGCCCUAUACAAGUCACUUAGCAUGCAUCAUACAAGAUAAUUAAAAUAGAUAUUUCAAAUGAAACAGUCUUAUAUCAUAAAAGAGUUUGACAAAAGUGUAAGUUUAACAUAAGUCUCAACAAGCCAUCUAUUAUAUCAGUAGGACGUAACACAUAUAUCACAUAAAAAAUCUGAAAAUUGAAAUGGCUUAUAGAUAUACAAGUAUCUCAGUCCUUGGAAUGCGAGCACUCACCAAUUAUUGAAUUCAGUAGAAUGAUCCACUCGCCACAAGUGUGAGAGAUAGAAGGUCAUACCUUAAACUAAUGAAACAAUGUAUGCACAAGUAUGCAUUAAUACAUCAAAUAUACUACAUAUGGGGAAAUAUGCAUAAAAUAGGCAUAGUAGCAUGAAUAACUUACAAACAUGUAGUGCAUAACAAACAUUUGAAAAAUUAAGGGCUUAAAGAAGCAACAACAUAUAAGUCAUAAGAUAUAGUCAAUGUAUUUGAAAUAACGGAAAAAAGAAAGCUUUGAAAAAAACUUAAUCAAUUUUUAGGAUAUAGCUUUAACCAACAAUAAGACAACGAGAGCUAUGUCAUGGAAGUCGGUAUACCUCUCAUACCAAAAGAAGGGGAUUCUAGUUGUCCAGGUAGAGUCCGUACACAUCAUAUUUGCUAAAGUGGAUUCACUAGCUAGGUCAUUUGAGACAAUCCAAUGGGGGCAUAUAGUUAGGGGUUAUAGGUUGCUUCUAGACACUACCCUAUUUGAGUCUCCACCUCAAAGCGCUCUUCGUUUUAAGUCUAAAUCUCAAUAGAAUAGAUAAAAAGUCAAAUAUAAAUAUAACAUAGGAAAGACAAUGAUCAAUACCAGUCCACAUCUUAAGAUCAAAUCAUAAAAUAACUCCAUUUAUUUUAAUCCAAGCAUAAGUGAGAAAACAUUUCACCAAUGUCACUUCCUAUGUGAGAAAUAUCAUUCACAAUUCAUACAUAUUCAUAUGUGAGAAAUUCUUUCACUACGAUAUUGAUACUUUCAUUUAAAAUCAUCAUAUAAUCAUAAACAUCAUUUUCAUAAGACAUGCAUAAUCUUCAAAAAUUAAUGGUUCAUGGGUUUAUUAUAGGUUCAUAGUUGAAAAUCGUGAAUGAUGCAUGGGUCAAUAAAAUUUCAACUAAAUAUCAUGUAUUCACAUUAAUCCAUAUAUUGGGAAAACUUAAUCAAUGAUACUAAAUCAUUAUCGAAUGAAACUCAUAAAGAACUAUAAGGAAGCCUAAUUUGUUCAAUGGAAAUUGGAAACUUUGGGGACCCCAUGGAGGAAUAGACUCAAUGGGUGAAUACCCACAUACCUUGCUACUCAAUGCCCACAAAGAAUGGUGAUUUGGUGACUUGAAUGGCAUUUUAGCUUGGGUUAGGUUCGUUUAGGUUGAGAGGAAAUUGAGGAGUGAAUUUGAUGAGGUUUUGGGGAUUUAGGAGAAUGGGUUUAAAGUGGGUAGUUUUAGGACUUAAAAGAUUUAUAUAGGACUUAAGGUAGAAGAUAAAACGACUAAGUAUUGGUUUAACAUAAUUAGGAAAAGACCCAAAAUCCCCUUAUAAAUAACUAUCAAAACCUUUUACAAUUUGGACUUACUUCAUACGGACCAUCCUAGUCAGUAGUAGAAAAGUUCAGAAAACAAAAUUUUUCUGAUCGACUUUGACGAAACUUGUACGGCCUAUAGAAAUUUCUACGGUCUGCAGACACCAACCAUAAAAAAUAACUUUUGGCCGAACUUUCAAUGGUCCGUAGAUACCAACCAUAGAAAACAACUUUUGGCCUUCGAAAUUCACUAAGUCAAAGAUUCAUCUACGGGACUCAUCCAUGACUCGUAGAUCAUUUGACGAACCGUACUGGUGAACUGUAGAAAGUCCUACGAACGGUAGAUUGGUCUCAUAGACUUGAACAUGUUACUGCGAUAAAAUGCAUUCUGAUUGUUUUAAAAUCUGAGGUGUUACACUAUCAUCUCUUGAGAUUAAGUUAUUAGAUGGUAGUUGAUAAUGCCAAAUUCUUGUUAAUGGUCCUUUUUACUAAUAUUAAGUUCUUUUAUCAAGAAAAUAAGAAUACUGAUGAGUUAUUUUAAUCUUGUCAGUCAUUAAAAAAUAUUAAUUGUAGAAAAAACUUGUAACCAAGAUCACCUUGUCACAAAAAGACAUUUAUUGGAAAAGAUCAUUAUCAUCAUCCAUACUUUAAGUUACAUAACCCUAAUUAUGAGUUUAUUUAUGCUCAUAACUAGCGGUACACAAUUACUAUAACAACUUAAACUACUAGAGAACACAUAUAUAAAAGAAAGUAAUAAGAACAUUUGAUUGAUGUAGCUUUUGCAAGUGAGUUUUGUUUGUUCCAUAAUAAUCUACCAGAAUUUUAAAAUAAACCAUAAAACUUAUAAAAGUGAAUUCUAAUCUCUAUUAUUAAGUUGUAAUCCUCUAGUAAUAAUUUGUGACGAGUAGUAAAUUUACACUCAUUUUAAGUCUGAUUAGCACAAUAAUUAGUGUCUUCAAUGCCCGAUUAUGUCCUAUUCUGAUAAAAUAUUGAUGAUUUUCAACCAUGGAAAAUGCAAGGAUUGACGUUUGAAAGAAUGACGAUAAAAGCUUAAAGAAGUGAAAAUGAUACAUUGUUGAUCACGAUAUGAGAAACGCAGAUCGCCUAGCAAGAAUGGGAUCGCCCCAACUACAAUAGGUGUAGGACUAUUUGCUGAUGGGAUAAAUCAUAGGUAAAUGAUGAUGCACCGAGUGGAAAAAGGCAAACAUUAGGAACAUCACUAAAAUUUAACAGUAUUGGGUGAUUAAAUGGAAGUUCAAAUGGAGAAUUAAGGUGUUGAUCGAGAUUCAUCAUAUCAGAAAAGAUCGCCGAAUGAAGAUCAAAUACUUGAAAUCUGAAAUGAGAAAAAGGUUUGUUGAACUCUGAUUGGUGAUUUGUUGAUUGAGAUCGAUGAGCGCAACUAAGACUGGGCAACGGAAUGGGACAUACCGGUACCGUUCCGGUUCAUCCCGAUUCGGUUGCCUACGGGAUGGGACGGGAUAGUCUAAACCGGUACACGGAACGAAACGGAACUGUAGUUUUGUACCGGUGUACCGGUACCGGUUCAUUCUGGUUCCGGUCCGGUCCGGUUCCGGUCCGGUUUAUUUAAUAUAUAUUAAUUUUUUUAUAUUUUAUAUAAUUUAUAUUUAUAUUUUUUAUAAAUUAUAUUUUAAAAUUUAAUUUUUUUCAAAUUCCCCGCCCCUGCAGCCUGCAGACUGCAGUCUGCAUAAAGCUGCAGUGCAGCUGCAGUGCAGGCAGCCCCCCCCCGCCCCCUACCCUUUUCCCGAGACCACCCUUACCAACAACUUUAAAGUUUAAAGGGAAAAAUUAAAACGACUAAUUUUUUUGUUGUAUAAAUUAGAGUUGUGUGUAAAAAUUUUAUAGACAAAUUACAAGUUUACAACUUACAAAUAUAAGUCUGAGUAUUUGAGAGAAUAUAUAUUUCCAAAUUACAUUCAUAUUUAUAACUUAUAUCAUUUGGUCAUUUGGUGUAUUUCGGAGGAGGAAUCUUAUUCAAAUUUCAAGUUUCGACAUUAAUAUUUUAAUUUUCAUUAUAAUCGUUUGUUUUACACAAACGUUUGGUAACUUCGUUCCACUCUCUAAUCUUAUAUUUAUUUUUUGUAUUUAUUAUUUAACUUGUAAGUUGUUCUUGUUAUAUUAUUGUUCUUGUUAAGUUUCGUAUUUUAUAAUUUAUAAUUUUAUAUCAUGGAGUCUUCUAAAAAAAGUGGAAGUAAAAAAGGUCUAGUAGAAUCAGUAAAAAAAUUAGUUAAAAAAACUAACAAAGGUGCUAGUUCGUCUAAAUCUAAAAUUCCUCUUGUUAGAAUAAAUACAGAUGAAUUUACGCAUGUGAAUGAAACUAGUUUUUCCCGUUCCGGUCCUAUAAAUAUUAAUUCAGAUAGUCCGACUCCCCAUGAACUCUAUGAAAGACAUUAUGGUAUUAAUCAAGAAAAUGAAGAAGUGGAAACGGAUGAACAAUUAAAUUUAUAUGAAGAAGUAGAUUUAGAUGAUACACCGACUAGCCUCGCCGUCGACCUCAAUACAGUCAAUAGUUUAGGUAUUGAAGCUCCACCUCCGGUUGGAACUACUCGUCCCCCUAUUAUUCCAACUAGAGGUAAGACCAAGGUACAACGUUCUUUAAAAUCACAUGUGUGGAAAUUUUGUUAUUUGAAUGAAGAAAAAACUUUUAGUAUAUGUAAUCUUUGUAAACAACAUUUUAAAUAUACAUCUGGUGGGACGGGAGGUUCAACGGGGGGAAUAAAAAAACAUUUGAUUAACAAGCAUAGUAAAGAGUGGUUUGCAUAAAUGUCUUCUCUUGAAGUUGUUGGAAAUUGUAAUGUUGAAGAAUCGGUUAGAGGAUCAAAAAUAUGGUUCAAAGUGAGUUAAAUACUUCGAACCCAAGUGGUCCUCUUACACAUCGAACCUAUAACAAGGAUCGUGAUCGUGAAAACUUUGCUAAAAUGGUUGUUGUUUGUGGUUUACCUUUUAGUUUUGGAGAACAUCCGGGUUUUAUUGCUUAUAUUCGUGAAACAUAUAAUCCUAGUUUUCAAGGUUUAUCAAGAAGCAUGGUAAAAAGAGAUAUUUUCGAAUUUCUAGAAAAACAUUGUCAAUAUUUACGUGCCUAUUUUGAACUAAUGGAUUGUAGAGUUGCUAUUACUACUGAUAUGGGUCGUAGUCCUAAUGGUUUUGAUUAUUUAACUGUUACUGCGCAUUGGAUCGAUUAUAAUUGGAAUUUACAAAAAAGAAUUAUUGGUUAUAAAAUUUGUCAAAAGAAAAAAACCGGAAUUUAUAUUGCUACUACUGUGUUGGAAAUUUUAGAUUUUUUUGGUCUUUGUGAUAAAGUCGUUAGUAUUACUUUAGAUAAUGCCUCUGCUAAUUUAAAUGCUAUUAAUUUGCUAGAACCUAGACUUUGUCCUAUUAGUAAAUAUGCUUUUCAUGUUAGAUGUGCCGCGCAUAUAUUAAAUUUGGUUGUUAGUGACGGUGUGAAAUUAUUUGAAAAUAGUUGUGAUAAAAUUGAUAAUGCUUAUUUUUACAUUUUUCAUAUGAAUAGUAGUAGUAGAAUUAAUCAAUUUAAAGAACUUUGUAAUGCAUUUAAACUUCCGUUUAGAAAAGUUCCGAAGCAUGUAAAAACUAGAUGGAAUUCCUUUUAUGAUAUGCUUGAAGUUGCUUAUGCAUAUAGGCAACCUAUUACUACACUAUUUAAUAAUCAUAAUGCUUAUCCUGAAUUUAAAAUUAAUGAUAGUGAUUGGGAUGAAGUAAAUGAACUUAGAAUAUUUUUGAAAUCUUUUAUGAUGCUACUAAAAAUUUUUCUGGAAUAUAUUAUCCUACUAUUUCUGAAAUUUUAAUACACAUAUGUGAGAUUUCAUCUAUUUUUUCUGAAUAUAAAACAAAUACUUUAUUCACCUCUGCUAUUGAAGUUAUGAUUACAAAAUUUAAAAAAUAUUUUUUCCUAUUCCUCAAAUUUAUUUAACUGCACUUCUUUUCAACCCCGAAUAUAACGAAUAUGGUGCAAAAGCUUUAGUUGAAUGCAUUUAUCAGAAUUUAGAUAUUCAACCUGAAGAAGAAGCUGAUUUGGUAACAUGUCAAAAUAGUAUAAAAUACUUUGCAAAAGAAAUGUAUGAUAAAUAUUCAUUCUUAGAUAAUGUUGAAAAUCCUCAAACGUCUACGAAUCAAGUAGGUGCUCAUGGACGAGUGAAACAUAAACUUGGUCUUGACUCUUCUAAUAAAUGUGAAUUUGUUAAAUAUCUUGAACAGGGUACAGAUGAUAUUACAAACGAUAAUGAUAUACCGGAACUAUUGAACUGGUGGAGAAAUCGUGGAGCUCAAUAUCCAAAACUUAGUAGGAUGGUGAAGGAUGUGCUUGCAAUUCAAGGAUCAUCAGUAGCUUCGGAGGCAGCUUUCAGCGCGGCAAGAUUUCAAAUUGGAGACCACAGAUAUUCGUUAGCAGAAGACAGCCUGGAGAUAUCAGUGUUAUUUAGAGACUGGAUAAAUGCUGAGCAUAGAAAUCAAGGACUUCCAAAGUUAGAUAGUCAAUUUGAACUUUUCAUAGAUUCAGCUAUUGGAUGUGGUAGUGAUGAUGGCAUCGAAAUUCAAGAUCGUCAACGAGCUUUACCAAGACCAGAAGUUGAUCACAAUCAAUCCCUAGCUGAGUUAGAAAGAGGAUUUACGGGACUAUACAACUAUUAGUAUUACAUUCGAGACAUAGUUGAAACAGAACCCUUCCUAGAAGGUGGCUGCGUAAGCUAUGUACUCUACUAAUAGUUGUAAAUUGAAAUUGUAAUUUGUUACAAAUUUAAAUAAAUUAAAUUGAUAUUUUUUAAUUUUUGUAAUUGUUUUAUCCUUAUUUUAAUUUACUUUUUUAAAAUUACAAAUUUUAUUUAUUUAAUAUUUACAAGAUACAAGUUAUAAAUAUAACUUAUAAAAUAAAUAUUAAUGAAUAUAAGUAAUAACUUAUAAAGUAUAAACUUCAAAAGAUUUAAAUUUUGAAAACUUUAUUAGAUUACUUGCAAACUUAACAAUAAUCAAAAAAAUAAUAAAAUAUCUUUAAAAUAAACUUAAGUUAAAAAUUAUAGUAUAAAUUUAAAAACUAUUAAUUUAUACUUAAAAAAUAAAAAAAAUUAUAUUUUCGUAAUUUAAAAAAUAUCGUCACGUUAAUCCCGUCCCGUUCCAUCCCGGUCCGUUCCGGUUCAUUCCGGUUCCGUCCCGGUAUAUAGUGGAACGGGACGGAACCAAUGAACCAUCCCGAUAAUUCCGAUCCGGUUCAUCCCGGUUACCGGUCAAAAUUCCGGUCAACGGAUUUCGGUCCGAUCCGGUACCGAUUCAUUCCGGUUCGGUGACCCGGUUCCAGUCCGUUGACCAGUCUUAAGCGCAACUAAUGUCACCAAAUGGGGAGCACAUGUUAGUUCUGGGCCAAAGUUUGAGAAACCAUAAAUAGUUUAAAGGAGAGAGAAAAGACAGUUCAAAAUUUUGGAGAGAAAAUUCUUAAUAUUUUAGAGAGAGCAACACUUUCUAUUGAGUGAAAAAUACUUUUAUGACCAAGAGUUUUGAAAUUAAUGGAUUGAAGUUGUAAAUUUGAGGUUAAAUUCAAAGUGGUUUUGCUUGUAAUUGCUUAAUUACAUAUUAUUCAUGACUACUUUCAUAAAAGGUAUAUUUUCUUCGCUUUUUAUGUUGGGUGGCUAAAAUCCCAAUCUCUUGAGAUGUGAUUAUGGGGUUGGAUGUUGAUUUAAGUUAGUUGGUUUGCUAAAUUGCUCAGUUUUACAAUUGUAAAUCUUAUAUUUGAACUAUUUCUGAGUGAUUAAUACAUAAAUUGAGGUGGCCAACUUGAUUUUAGCCUUGACUUUUUAUGGGUGCCCGAAAAAGAAUAUGAGUGGAGAAUAGGUUCAACUUUUGCAAUUUAGUUGUAUUGAAAGUUCAAUGUAUUAGGUUGUUUAGUUUUUUAUUUAGAUGAGACCAAAAAAAGAUUCUAUAAAAGGAUGUUAUUAGAUUAAAAGAAGAUUAGCAUGAUUUAAAAAUGACUUAUCCUAUCUUUGAUUGUAUAACUGAAAUGAGUAAUUCUACAACACCCCUAGUGAGAUCAAUGCCUAAACUCCACACUCCUAGAGUCAUCUAAUCUUGUGAAUUGUUGUUAAUUGAAUUAGUAGAGAUUGUGUGUCAGAAAUUGCUUUGUUAAAUUUGAUGGAAUCAUCCACCCAUUUACUAUUUAACUACAUUGAGCUUAAUGGAAAUUUAAUUCACCAAUUGAGUCCUUAACUUUCGUACCAUUUCCUAUGGGAUACCACCCCGACUGUUUGUUGGGUAAUUUUAUUGGCGAUGAUCGUUAUCCCUUUUAAUUGAUUUUAAAUAGCACAUUUGAGUGUUAUAAAUUUGUAAUCCUAAUAGCGUCAUGAGAAGACAUACAUAUAAUAAUAGGUUUAAAAUUCAAAUUCGGUUGGACUCCACUUUGACUAGGUCUAACUCAAUAAGGUAGAUAGAAUGAUCGUUACGCUGGUCCUAUCACAAGGGUUACUGCUUAACGCCGUAUGGUUCAUCUUGAACCCUACCUUCUUUUGCUGUCUCUCAAGUUUAGUUCUUGUGCAAGUGUGGAACAAUUCCCAUCUCAAGGUCCUUCUUGCAACUCUUUUUGCUCCCUUUUAGUCUUGAUUACUCUGCUUUGCUUUCCAAUCCAUCAUAUGGAUCUUUUUUAAUACUUUUUUGGCCUAUAAUUAUCCUUAUCAUGUCCAUUAGCUUAUCAUAACAUAUAAUUAAUAAACGGGAUAAUGUACAAGUACCCCCUCAAUCUAUGCCCGAAAUCUCAGAGACACACUUAUACUAUACGAAGGUCCUAUUACCCCCUGAACUUAUUUUAUCAGUAAUUUUCUACCCCUUUUUGAUUUACGUGACACUAUCUUGUGGGCCCAACAUUGUUUGAAUUUUUUUUCAAGCUAGUGCCACGUAGGACGAAAAGGGGUAGAAAAUUACUUAUAAAACAAGUUCAGGGGGGUAAUAGGACCUUAGUAUAGUAUAAGUGUAUCUCUGAGAUUUCGAGCAUAGGUUGAGGGGGCACUUGUGCAUUUUUCCUUAAUAAACUAAUGCAUAUUCAUAAGAUUAUACUCAAAACUUUAGCUAAAACAUGAAUAAAAAUGAUAUUUGAAUUCAUAAAUAUACCCUAUAUCAGAUGCCUAUGUAGAUGUUGUUGGAAGAUGAUGAAGAGAAAGGGGAUGUGAGGGAAAAAGAGACUUUCUUUUUUACUUUUUUAAAAUUUUAUUUAUCCUUAUUAGCAAAAUUUUAUAUUAACCCUCCUUAUCUGAGUGAAACUCACACAUUUUGUCUAACUGAGUCAUUAAGUUGUCAUAUAAGCUCAAUUAGUGAUUCUAAAAUACUUGCUUUAAUUGAAUUAAGGUGUCACACUGAAACUUCAUAAAGUAUAAGAAUCAAAAUGUCAAAUCAAGACAAAAAGAAGAAAUUUUCAAGUCAUUUUGCCUUUUCCACGACAUUUUUAGUAUUUAUUCUGAAAAGUAUUUUAACUUGACUUAUUUUAAAAAUAUUUUGGCCUAAAACUAGUUAUUGAACAAUACUUUAUAACUUUUCGAAACACUGCCAAACUAAAAACUACUCAAAAAUCAAAAACAUCUAAAAAUAAGUUAAUCCAAACAACCACUUACACAAAUAAAUGUGUUACUUUUAAAAAUUAAAAAAUUAGGGAAAAGGGAUAAAUAUACUCUCAAACUAUCGUAAAUAAUAUGCAGAUACUCUCUGUCAUACUUUUGGGACAUUAGUAACCUUACCGUCCAAAAACUAGAGCAUAUAUAUAUCCUUCACUUUAACGAAAGACUAAAUAGGGACAUUGACACAAUCUUAUCCGUCAAUUUGAUAUUUAAUAAAUAUCAAAUCUGUGAAUAAGAUUAUGACUCAUGUAUGUCCGUUGAUAUUAAAUAAAGUUAAAACUUGACCUAUCAUGUAAAAAUCUUAUACCUUUCCCUAUGAUUAGUUGAUUAUCCGUGAAGAACCUAUCGGGAGGUCAAAUUGUGUAAAAUUGUAUACUAUAAUGGGAAAUUUUCACAAAUAGCCACAUAAUAAACUUAACUAAGCUAUGCUAUACUUUACAUAUUUACAGGAUGGAGCUACAAUUUAAGUUGUAUCGUUUGUAUAAUUCACUAGUACAUUUGUAUAAUUUCGUUAUUUUUUUAUAUACUUGAAAUAAUGAAUUUACACAAUUACAAAAUUAGAAGUAUAAAAAAUUAUACAAAUUAAAAUUUUUAUAAAAUCUAUAUAAAUUAUAUUAUACAAAUAUAAAUAUACAAAAUCUAAACCGAGUAAUUAUAGCUAAAUAUAGGUUGCAAAUUGUAAUUGUACAAACUAUAACUAUAUCAACUAAUUAAUCCGCAUAUAUUUACUUAUACCAUAAUGUUCCCUACUAUAAAGCUCAAAUCCUUCCAUAAGCCCUAGACAGGAGCUGAGCCACCAUUUGUUGUUAAACCCUAAACUUGGAGAGCAUUGUUCAGGAAAUGGAUUGUCGAAGUAACUAUGAAAAUCAGAACUCGGGAAGCACAUCAUCAAAGAUGAAAUUUGAGUACGAGGAUGAAAGCUCCAACAUUGAGGUGGAGGAAGAUACCUCCAUGUGUGACCCAAUUGACGAAUCUAUUGUGGGCAGCAACAAGACUAGCGCUGACUAUUACUUCGACUCAUAUUCUCACUUUGGUAACUUAUCUCUUGACCUUUCACAUUUCUCUUCUAUGAUUUCUUCUCCUUUAUAGCUUCUUGAUGCACUUAUAUAUGCGUUUGUUGGGUUAUUCGUGGAAUGUAGCUUGGUUGAGUAACGUUCUCCUUGGUAGAGUCAAUUUAGUACUUAACUCGGAGACUGUAUUGUAUAAACCUCCUGAGCACCUCACCCUUCUCUAUUGUGCAGUAAAAGUAUAUAGUUGUGCUUAGAACAACAAAAUACUCCCUCUAUCCUCUUGAAGAGCGCAGAAAUAUGCCCUGCUAAUGGAAUUUUUAGAAGUACUAUUAAUUGGUUAGAUGCUGUGGCAUAGAUUGAAUUUUUUGUUCGCCAUGCUAAACAUUAUGAUGCUGCUGAGGAGGUUGAUAACAACUGAACCUAUGCACCUAGGUUCAAUGUGUCACUUGGUACCCUUUGGCAUGCUGUUCUUCAAACUCCUCCGCCUGUGGCAAUGUCACAUGUACCUCUAUCCUUGGAAAAAAAAGCUACAAGGUUGCUGUUUAAAUAGAGACAAUAUAUAUAAGCAAAAGUUCAUAUUAAAAACUAAAAAAAGGUUCCCUUUAGUUGUUGUCUUGUCAUGGUCAGUUGUGGCAACUUCUUGACCAUUGAAUUCAUAACCGUGAUGUCGUUUGGUUUGUAAUCACUUAUAGAAGCUAAUUUAUCCUUCCUUCUAUUGAUGCUUUUGCAGGUAUUCAUGAAGUAAGUUCCCAUAUAUCAUCUUAGGGUGUGUUGGCAUGCUGUUGAUGCUACCUCAGGUUUUGCAUUAAGAGUCUACAUUAAUGGUUCUAACUGUAAUUCUCACUCUGUAACAGGAGAUGUUAAAGGAUGUGGUGAGAACUAAAACUUACCAAAAUGUUAUUUACAAAAACUCCUUCUUAAUCAAGGAUAAAGUGGUACUUGAUGUGGGUGCUGGGACGGGAAUCUUGUCACUCUUUUGUGCAAAAGUUGGCGCCAAACAUGUUUAUGCGGUAUGGAGUCCAUCUCUUGUUCUUGGGCCAUAGUAUCACUUCUAUAUCAUAUAUAUUCUUGAUUGUAACAUGGUGGCUCUCUUCGUCACCACACACUAGAUAUUCAAAUGCUAUUUACUACGCUCCUCAUUAUUGAGAUGUUGCGGCAUGACUUUGUAAGUUAAUGUUGAACAAAGUUGUAAGCCUGAAGAAGCUAAUGCUAAACUAUCUAAAUGCAAUGGGACUUAUCUUCGCUAUUUUGAUAUUUUCAGAUUGAGUGCUCCAGCAUGGCUGAUAUGGCCCAAGAAAUUGUAAAACUCAAUGGGUUCUCAGACGGUGAGCUGAUUUUAUCACCAUGUCAUGAACCUUGUUACACAUUUUGUGUGCUUUUGUACUAUCUAGUUUACUGAGUCUGUUUGCUUUCUCAGUUAUAACUGUUAUCAAGGGAAAGGUAGAAGAGAUUGACUUUCCGGUUCGAAAAGUGGAUAUAAUUAUUUCUGAGUGGAUGGGAUACUUUCUUCUUUAUGAGAACAUGUUAGAUACAGUCUUAUAUGCUCGUGACAAAUGGCUGGUAAGCUGCUUUUAGUUGUGAACUUCAAAAAGUUGCUUCUACUCGUGAUUGUUUAGUACUCGUUGCAUUUGCUGAAUGCAACAUUUUGUUCUUGAAAUUUAGGCUCUCUUCUGAUACGAUAUUAUGUUUUAUGUAGAUACUUUAUACAUGUAUUUAUUAUUUUAACCAUAAUAGAAUUUCUUCACGGAAUUUGUAAUCCUUUGUCUGCCUUAAUUACAGUAAAUGCCAUGAGCUAAUUACAACUAGAGGUAUUAAUAAGAUGCCUAUCUUCAAAUUCAUCUCCUUGGCUUGUGGCUGGCAUCACUGAUAUAAGUAGCUCUUUCUUGAGUUAUUAUGUCUAUAUAUAAUAUAGUAAAAAGUUACUUUAUUUAAUAGAAUAUUUAGUGCAAAUAAAAAGCUUUUGACAUACUGUAUGGGAACCUGGGUACAUGCAGCUCAUGAUGCCUCUUUAAGGGAGAAUGGAAAUGAUGGAAAAGUAAAAGGUAUGAGCAGGAAGACGUGUUGAUAGCAAUGAAAUACAAGUGGGGAAUAACGAAGAGGGCCCUUGUCCUUUUCCAAGCCAUGACACUGUGACAUGCGCAACCUCUUCUAUAUUAAUUAGACCAAGCUUAUUGAUUGAGCUUGGCAACGGGUUCAAAGAAAAAAGGCGUGGGUUGCAUUCUACCAUUGAGUGCUAAUCUAGACUUUGGCCAACAUGGCAUUCCCACCAGUCAAACAUAUUUCAGCUAUCAUCACACUUCCUGCGUUGAUCAACAUCUUCAUGCUGAUCCUUCUCCUUUCCACCCUGUACCAAGUUGAACCCCCAGUCCCCCGCAGCCACCAAAAAAGGAAUUAUCUUUAAGGUGCACUUUUUAUUCAAGAGAAAAGUGUUUUUCUUCUUGGUUGUGCUGAGUUCAAGGUGUUUGUAUGCAGAAAAGAUUAUUAGAGUGCUUGUAUACAAUUUAUUUCCUCCAUUGAUGCCCGAGAAUUGAAAGAAAGUUAUAGUGUAAGUGGACUAAUUGUUUUACCCACGUAAUAAUUGAAAAACUUUUUUUUUGGCUUCUUGAGAUUAUAUAGAUGGGGUCCCCUGUAAGUCAAAUUGGAAAAUUUGCUUUUUCUUUAGACCAUGAGAAUUUAGUACCCCCUUGUCUUUGGCUGGUUUGUAUUGUGUUAAAGACCUGGGAUCAAUGGAAAUUAGUGACUGGAUAAUGUGCUUUGUCCUCUUCAAAUGAAUUUUUUCUCAUUACUGCUUUAAGUAGAGCUCCCCCAGGUUGGCUGAUUUAAUUUCCAAACCAACUUUCUGGCGUUCUUCUAUUUGCUUCAAUUUUCUCAGAGUGACUCUUUGGGUGGCGAGCUCAACUAAAAAAGGCCUCUUUUUUGAUUAUAUACCCUUUCUCCCGCCUGUACAGG